rnacentral:lncRNA from 1 species
UAUGAGGGAAAUACUUUUCUUUGUGGACUGCCAUUGCCCAUUUGCAGAUCACCAGCAACUAUGCCGGAGGCUUCAAUUGGCAAUGAACAAGAUGAUAAUUUAAUUGAUAUGGACAGUUUCUUUAUCACAUUACAACAUCGUACGUAAUUGUGAUAUUCGGAAUUGUUAUUGUUUUAUAUGUAAAUUCUUAUUGGCGACGUAGAUGGUUUUACUUUGUUGAAAUGUGGAUAACUUAAUGUUACUAUUUUGUUGUAAACAAUCUUAUUGCAACAAGAUAUUGUCAUUGAAAUUAAUUAGCAGUUUAAUUACGAUUCUUUAAGUUCUAAUCAAGUUUGCUUAGGAAAUAAUUUUUUUUUUUAUUUUUUUAUUAAAAUUGUAGUAGUAUUUAGCGCUAUAUAGCUUCCAACUUGGUAGAAAGCUCCAUUUUUUGUUGGCUACAGUAAAAGCAUGUUGUUUUAUUCUUCUUAUACUUUACGCCUGCAUCAGCUUAAAUCACUUCUUAAACGCUUGCUUUAACUGCACCGCUUCGUACUGCUCUAUAUAUGUAACGGUUAUGCGGUUGUAGCUCACGGCUCAAGCUACGCGUUUGUUUGACGUGGUAGUUACGUUACGAUGUUUCGAGUCUGUUAAACAUUCGGUGAUAAGAUUAGUUACAACAAACCUACUAGUUUUAUAAAAUUCAAGUGAGAUGGAAUAAAAUAAAAAAUAAAUAUAAAAUUGGCUUUUAUUUUUUAGGUUAACCAUAUUUUGUGUUCUCUUCGGGCACUACUACAAUUGUUCCCUAUACAUCAGUUACACUCACGUAUCAUCGACACGAAAAAUGAAAUCUAAUAUCACCUGUUUAGUUAAAGAAUCACUCAUGAAAAAAAAUUACCAUUUUGAUUUGAAGAUCCAUAUUUUGAACUACCAAUUAAUGUUCAUCAAGAACAGAGUGUGGCCGUUAAGUAGAAAAACUAUUUUUGGACAAAUUAUUAAAUUCCAAUAUUGUAUCCAUAUGCAAACGAUGCCUGAAGCAGAGCCUCCAAACAAUGACCAGGGCACAAAACAAGAGUGUAGUAAUCAAGUGUAUUGUCUCAUAAUCAAUUAAAAGCAGAUAUACAGGAUACCAUAUUCAAUUCCAAAAUAACAAAAGCAUAAUGAGGAUGAGAAGAACAAUGAUCACUCAAAUAUUUCUUCACUUUGGUUGUCAAUUAUCUAUUCAAAUUAAUCAGUGUCAUUAUGGACUUAUUUAUUUAGAAGAGCGGGUGAUAAAUAUAUUCAAUAAUGUGAACAAGAAGUUGAUUAACUUUUAUGAUCAUUUGGAAGGUCGGCGUGUCAUCACUCGUCAAACACAUUGCAUCGAUCCACCAGCAUGAACCGACCGGAUUAUGCCCAAAAGUUGAAAUAUCAAUAAAAAAAACAAUUAAUUAAAGGUCGAAGAUGGGUCCUUUACAUAUGUUUUUGUUUUCGUAUUAGGUAGGAGGUUAUUAUAUUAUAUCAUGUAAUUAAUUUAUUAUUACUCAACACUAAGUAAUAACUUAACUAUAUAAAGACAACAAGAAGAUAAAAUGAUAUAUAAAAAAAAAAAGAAUUUCAAAGAGAUAGCAACAUACAAUAGACUGAAGCCAUUUGAUCUGCUCAUUGAUUUCAGCCUUAAACUUGUAAAUAGUUACUGUCAAAUAUUCUAUUCAUACGAAAAAAAUGUUUAGAUAUCUUACUAUAAAUAUAGCCGUUUGACUGUCUUAAUAAAGUCACACACAACCAUUCUUAUUAAAUUAGCAAGAUCAAACACUGCCCUGGAUCUUGAACAGAUCAACACAAGAUGCACAACUUAUGAUUGAACCCAGAAACAAUCAAAUCUUUAGCAAGAACAAUUAAUCAGAGUCAAGAAACAAGUUUAAUGAAUAUAAACCUAUAAUUGAAACAAACAUAGCCAAGAAAAAAAUACAGAUUUUACACGGUUCAGUUGUACCUAGGAUGGCACAACCUACACCACGAGAGAAGCUUUCUGGUGAGAUUUUAUUGAUGAUCAAAGAAGAAUCUUUUGACAAAGCUAAUAAUAGAGAUUUCAGAGAAUAAGCUGUAACCCUCUCUCCCUCUUCAAUCUCUCUCUAUUUUGUUCCCAUUGAUGACCCCAAUCUGCUUAGUUAUCCAGCUUUAUAGCUGCAUCAGUAACAAACCAGCAAACCCAGAUUGAGCAGAUUGACGACACGUGGAUAACGGCUUUAACGAACCUGGUUAAGAACUGCUCACAUGUUCGUCACGCGUGCUGCUUAAAUGAUGGCCAAAACGACUUCAAACAAAUGUCGUUUUGAGGCUUAUGAAUUACAAGUGAUAACACGAGCUUGUCUCAUGACUUUUAAAUGCAACAACGUGCCCACAACGCCGUCGUUUUACUCUGUUGAGUUUGAUUCAUUACUAAGCUUUACGACUGGCAAUGGAGAAGAUGAUAAUUUAAUUGACACGGACAGUUUUUAUAUCACUUUUACAACAUCCUAUGCAAUUGUAAUAUUGGGAAUUAUUGAUGUUUUAUUCUGUGAAUCCUCAUUGGCAAAAACUAGUGGUUUUAUCUUUGUUGAAAUAUAGAUGACCUCUCGUUACUGUUUUAUUAUAAACAUAUAGUUUCGUAAGUGAAACUAUAUGUUUAUAAUAAAAUUAACAUAUAGUUUUGUUACAUUUCUGCCUCAUUAAGAUUCUCAAAUACCAGUCAGGUUUGCUUAAGAAAUAAAUUUUUUCCAUUAAAAUUGCAGUAGUAUUUCCAAGCAUAUCGCAUUUUCUAUGAGUUUUCAUAAAUUAAUUAAUCUGCGGUGCCAAUAUCAGAUUUAGUUUUUCAAACUAAAUAAUCAAGAAAGCAAACAUACAAAUAUACAGUUUAGAGGGGUAAACUAGGUAGGUGGCUUAGAUUUUAGAACUAAGCCAGCUACCUCACUAAAUUCCGAUUCGUACAGUGAACUGCAAGAAACUGAGAAAACAAUGUAUUUAUAAUUUAAUAGAAUCAUAAGAAAACAAUGCAGUCAUUGCUCAAUAUAAGAUGAUGAUUUCGGAGAGGCACAUUGUUUUCAAGUUAAUUUGAUCCGUUUAUAAGAGAUGAAGUGGAAUGAAGUUGAAAGUUUAAAUAACAAAUCCUUGUUCUUGAGUUUUACGACGUCGUUACUCCUUCAAGUGGCAGAUUAUGCAAGUGAAUGCAGAAACACAAUGCAUCAUCCGCGGGGAUGAUACAUCAAAAGGCGGGAUUUGUUUAUGCCUGCAGAUUAGCAAUUUCACUCAUAUAGAAAAUUAAUUUUUUAUAUAUACUAAUCAACACUAAAUUGAUUAUGUGUUGUAUGUUUAUAUGCUAAUCAACACGAAAUUAUAUUGAAUUAUUAACAUUCAUAUUCCUAAUAAAAAUUAUUUUCCAUCAGUAUUCAAAAUUUUCACUUAUAGAAAAUGCGUUUUACGUGAAUACUAGUUAUUGUGUAAAUUUGAAUGAUAGCGAAAAAUAAACCUAAUUGAAAACUGUAAGGGUGUGUUGGGAUAUUUUACAACUGUCGGAAUCUGGUAGGAUAUUGCACCAUUUGCCCAGUAUUUUUAGACGUACUCUAACCGGUAUUCAAGAUAAGUAAAAGUUACAAGCGUGGCAAAAUAAAAAAAAUUAAAUUCGUAAUUUGUAAACGAAAUUUCCUGAGAUGUAUAGUAAAUGAAGUUGUUGAUCCUUUCUUUGGAUUAUUUCAGCUCUGGUUGUGGGUCACCGAUGAGCCGAAGUCAUAUUUUAAUUUUAUUUAAACUCAUCAUAAGAUUCGUGGAGCACCUAACUAACUUAACUGACUGUGCAGAGCAUGUCAACAUGGCAUAUUUAACCAUCAUUCAAGUGAUGGGUUUAAUAAGACUGCUUAUGUUCUAACAAGUUCCUCUGCCUCUAAGCAAAAUUACUAUUGAAGGGCCAAAAGGAAAAUGAAAACGUGUGAACUCCAACAACCACCCCACAAAUUCAAUGACGAUGCUCGGAGAGGGUUAGGUUGGGCCUCUGAGAAAAAAAAAUUAUUUAGUUAAAAAGUUACCCUUAUUGAAACCUGUAUAAAAGUUUUAUAUUAAUUAGUUAUGUUGCCUCUUCAACUAUGAUCAAUUUUUUAUCCGAGCUCAUCAUUUAAUGAGUAAAUGCAUAUUUUAAUGAUCUCAAUUAAUAUUUAGAAUAAAUAUUUUAAGAAGUAAAGCUCAUUAUAUCUCCCAUUAUUAUGUAUUUCUUUAAUUUCUUAUUUACAUAAUUAUAUUGUACAUUAAAAAUGUAUUGAAUUUGAAGAAAAAAAAAUUCAACUCACUCAAAAAAAAUGCUGGUAGCUUCGUAAUAAUUACUGUAUUGACUGCACCAGAUAAAGUUUUGUAAAAUAAUAAGUUCUCAUUAGUGGUUUUUCAUUUUUAAUUUUCUUUUCCGGCACACCUGAUCAAGAAUUCUAUUUUGUUAACUAAUCAAUUGCAAAGCAUAAGUGUUGAACGGUACAAAAAAUUUAAAAAAAAUACACUUAAAACGUGGGGUGGGUAACGGCUCACUCAAAUCGUUAGGUAGAAUUGUGGAAAACUAAAGCGAAAUGAGAAAUAUAGAAAGAAAGGAAGAGGUGAUGUUUUUCUAUGAAUUUCUAUGGGUAACGGCUCACUCAUCCUUCUAUGAAUUUCUAGCUGUAUUGACCCCAACUGCUAAAGUUUUGUAAAAUAAAAAUAAAAAUAAAAAACUGGAAUUUCAACAAAAUUCAAAACGUUUGAAAUUUAAUUUUUGGCCAUGUGGAACAAAAUGUAAAUUAAGGAAAAAAUAUAAAUCUCAAUUGCUUAGUAUGGUUAGGAUUUUGUGAGCAUCACUAGAAAGUGAAAACUAUGAAUGAUAGGGGUGAUGUUUGCAACAUGAAUAAAUGAUGAACUGAAUCAAUUGAUGAUCGUAAUUACAUAAUGAACAAAAUUUACAAAAUCAACAAAAGUUAAUAAAAAUUUAUUCAAAUAAUAAAAAAUCAAUAAAAACUUAUUAUUUAACGGCGCUCAAACCAUGGAGUACCAUAAUCAUAAUCUUCUUUUAAGAAAAUUAUAACUUAUUAUUUUACAGGUUUGAUCCAUUUGGAAUGAAGUGGUCUCAAGUUGAAAGUAAUUAAUUUAUUGAAUAACUUUCGACUUAUUAAUAGUUAUAUCAACGGGUGUUUUACCUCAUCAUGUCUUCAAGUGGAAGAUGAAGACUAUGCAAGUGAAUUCAGGAAUAUUGCAUGCCUGUUGUCUAAAGCAUUACCUCACAAGGUUUUAUGAGAAACGAAAGAUGUGUUUGCUUUGAACAAUUAAAGUUACUGCUACGAACCUCCCCAAAGGUCAAGAAGACAGAACAGGAAGCUAAUGCCAUCAAUGUCUUGUUCAUUAUAGCUGCUGGGUAGUUAGGUGUAGUUUCCUCAUUUGAAGCUGUCUAUACAUAGGCAUUUCCCCUGCUUAUGUACAAAUAAAUGAACAACCUUGAAGCUUUAUUAUUCGCAACAAAAAGGGAUUACUAAUUGGAGAAGACUAUACAGAGUUUUCUCUCACACUUUCUCUCUGUCAAUUUCAUCCAGAAGUCCCUCUGAAAGCUUCUCCCAAAACAGUUAGUCAUCUUUUAUGCUCUGUUUUCUGAAAACAGAGUCCUAACUAAAUUAAUUGACUGUACAGUGCAUUUCAACAUAGCAUAUUUAACCGUUUUAACAGUUAUUUGGACCGUCUUCAGAGCUAACAUCAACAAACUCAUUCAUAUGCUUAAUAAUGAACGAAUAGUCUUGGAUCGAUGUUUUGCAGCAAGAGCAACACGACACAAUCUGGAUUCAACCUCCUCCUUUCUAACAGGGGAUUUCGAUUUGAGUUACUUUGUGCUCAAGCAAAUUCACAUCAUAGUUUUGAUUCUUUAGAUAUGAAUUCAUCUCAUUACAUAUAUCAGAUUAAGUGUAACAAAAUUUGUAAUUUACUGCGAAAAGAAUAUGCACUAAAAAAUGAUUUCAAGACUAUUUGACUACAAAAAGCAGCUGUCAGAGUGCACUAAAAAUUUCUGUAGGAUAUUUUGUAGCUGUUUAAUAUGUUAUGAUGGGCAUAUAAUUCUCAAAUUUUGAUGCCUCUCAGCGAAAAAUAUAUCAAAGUUACGGAUGAUAUCACGUAAAACAUGCAUGGCUCAGGCUCAGGCUCAGGUAAGAAAGCCACAGAAAUGGAAAAUCUCACUGUCACGACUCACGUCACGCAUCAUUCAAGUGAUGGAUUUAACAAGACUGCUUAUGUUCUAUCAAAUUCCUCUGCCUCUCAGAAGAUAACUUUUCUGGGCCAAAUUUCUCAUCUAAAGCAUAUUAUGCCCCAAAGUCACAGAUAACAAAAUGGGGCACUACCGAUUAUGAAAGAGAACUAGUAGUUGUCAGAAGCCUAAGCCAAAUUCCGGUAGUAAGAAGAGGCCUUUCUUGAGUUUAGAUUAUGUGUUCGAGUUUUAAUAAAUGCCUAAGUUAAUAAUAAUAACAACAGUAAUAAUAAACUAAAAAGCAUAAUUACUAUUGAAUGGUAAAAAAAAAAAUGAAAAUGUGUGAACUCCAAUAACCACCCCAGUGGCGAAUUUUGGAGAGGGCUAGGCCGGGCUUCUUAGAAAUUAUUUUUAUUUAAUUACAAAAUCACCUUUACUGAAACCUAUAUAAAAUUUUUUAUAUUAAUUAAUUAUGUUGCCUCUUCAAUUAUCAUUAAAUUCUUGUCCGUUCAUAAUUUGAUGGAUAAAUGUGUAUUUCAAUAAUUUCAAAUAAUGUCUAGAACAAAUAUUUUGAAUUAUAAAACUCAUUAUGUCCUGCAUUACUAGAUGUAUCUAUAAUUUAUUAUUUACAAAUUAUAUUGUAUGAUAAAAAUGUAUUGAAUUUUUUUUAAAAAAAAAGUUCGGCUCACUCAGAAAAAAAUGUUAUUAGCUUCGCCACUGCACAAAUCUAGAAUAAUAAUUAUUCCUUAUUAUAUUGACUGCACCAAGCAAUAAACUAAUAAGUUCUCAUCAGUGGUUUUUAAUCUUUUUAAUUCUUUUUACCGCACACCUGAUCAAGAAUUUUAUUUUGUUAACUAAUCAAUUGCAAAGCAUAUAUAAGUGUUGAACGGUACACAAGAUUGGAAAAAAAAAUCUUAAAAAACGUGCGGAUUCGGGUGGCCACACCAGAAAUCUAUUACAAUAAUUAGCUUUGAUGCUGGGAAUCUUUUAAUUUCUGGCCGUAUUGAAGUUUUUAAAAUAACAAGUUCCCCUUCUCGUUUUUUUUUUUUUUAAAUAUAUAUGCUUAUAACAAUUUUAGAAUAAUGAUUCAUUUGUAGAAGAACUUAUGAUUUCCCAUUAAUAUUAAUAUUGAAGUGGGGUGGGUCAAAUCUCAAUUGCUUGAAGAAUUUAUGUAUUAUUAAAUAUUACCAUCCAAGGUAGAAUUGUGGAAAAUUAAAGCAAAAUGACAAGUAUGGAAAGGAAGGCUGAAAGUAAGGCAUGACGAAAGGCUUUGAGAAGGCUGAAGACUACCAAAGAAGUCAACUGAAAACUAGCUGGGGCCUGAGUGUAUAAAUUGUUAGAUGCGUUUGUUAUAAAUAACAUAGAGCCCUUUUGUUAUUUAUAGUUAUAGAGAAAGAGAGAAUGUGUGUUUUUUAAUAGUUAGAGAUAUAGCUAGAAUGGGUUGCUCAAAAUCCAAAAUAGUGACAAUGUUAGUUCUCGUAUUGAUAAUAUUGGGGGGGGGGGGGGGGGGGGGGGGGGGGGGGGUGGGGGUGUUGGGAGGUCGAGUGAGGGAUGUUUGGAGCAUGAGCAAUUUGAUCUUUUGCGGCUUAAACAUUUCUUCAAUUAAUAUCGAUCUGGGAGAGUGGUAUCUGAAUGCUUCUCUAUUUACUUCCUUUCAACAACUUGGUAACAAAAUAGCCGGCUGCAUGCGUUGAGAAUGAAGGUGCUUCAUUUAAUUUAAUUUACUUAAUUUCUCCCUCCUAAUUAAUGUCUAUAAUCAUUAGGAGGAACAAGGGAUUUUAUUAACUCAAAUAUAUCUAAUGGAGCUCAUUCUUUGGUUUUACUUGCAGGGCUAGAAGCAGGUGUCAUCUAACAGCUGCUUUGAUAAUUUCCCUCCCCUUCAUCUUUGAUGGAAAGAUGAAAUAAAAACAAAUUGGUGAAAAUGGUAUUGGUACCUGAGGCUAUGUAAUCUAAUUCAAAAACUGCACCAUCAAAACGAUUACAUAAGUCUCAGAAGAAUCAAAUAUCAGUUUGCAAAAUAUCAAUUGCUGGAGGUUUGAUUCUAACUUCCGCUCUUCAUUUUUAUGGGCAUAUUGUGUUGUACUUGCAUCCGAAAAUCAUAUUUUAGUUUACUUGCACUCAAUGCUUGGAUUAAAGUUUUUUUUUGGGGGGGGGGGGAUUGAAGAAGACUAAAAUUACACCAAAAAAGAGUUGAGCGAGAGCGGGUUUUGUCUUCAUUUAAGGAGCUCUUUAUAAAUUUUGGGAUUUUUUUCCUGAGAAAAUUUAUGCCAACUCAUUCUUUGCUUCUUUUCUGAAGGGACACAUGCAACCGAAAGUAUAUUCUUGAAUUCUCCAGGAUAAGAGACAUACGUUUAGAUUCUGGAGCAUUUAAAACAAUGUCAAAUUUUAGAUUGCUGAAAUUUUAUAUAUCCGAGUAUGAUGGUGUUCCAAUUAUAAGCUCCAGGGUGCAACUUCACUGAGGUUUAGAAUGCCUUCCUAUAGAAUUGAGAAAUCUCCAUUGGCAUAAAUAUCUUUUGAAAAUACUGACAUCAGAUUUUGAAUUGGAGAACCUGAUUGGACUCAGCUUGCCCUGUAGUAAGGUUAAGCAAAUUUGGAAAAGAGAAAAGGUAUAAUGUAUUACUAUUACCAAAGUAUCUAUUUUUCUUUCUUUAAGUAUUUAUAAUGAAUAACUUUGAAAUUCAAUGAUGCUCAUUUAGUAUAGUUAUGUAUCUUUGGUUAUAGGAAGCUGUCAAGUUAAAAUCUAUAGACCUUCACCACCCCUUUAUCUCAAUAGGAUCCCAGAAAUACUAAAUCUUAAAAAAAUAAAUCUUUCAAAUUGUGAAAGCAUGCUUACGUUACCCCCGUAUAUCCACAAUUUCAACUAGCUGAGUAUGUUGUGUUUCAGGGAUGCAAAAUUCAUUUUGUUUCUCAUGAAAGGAUUGACUUGUCCGGAUGUAUUAGGGUUAGUAAACCAACUAAUCCCAUAAUUUGUUGAUGUAGGGUCCUAACAAAUUAUUGCAGUAGAUUGUAGAUCAGUACACUAUUCGAAAACGUAUUUGAUCCACACAGUGAAGUGGAUAUUGGACCAAUUUGAUGAUAAUGAAUUUCUUUCAAUCUCAAUCUUUUUUCUUUUUAGCAACAUGACUAGUCAUUGUGCAAAUUCAAACUCUGACAAUAAUUUCUCAAUCGGUUUCUAAGAUGAUGACCAUGCAUGUAUAUGUAUAUGCGUGUGUAUAUGUGUGUGUGUGUAGAGAGAGAGAGAGAGAUCACACGUGUGUGAUUUCCUUUUGCCAAUAGGAUAUGCAGAGAGCUUGAUCUUACCCAAUAGCGAAACAAACUUCCUAAUAAGUGAAGGUAUAGUAUAAAUACUUAUACUUUCAUGUUAUUUUGUUCAUCAGUAGCUUGAUUAUUUUAUAUGCGUCUUCGAUUUUAAUUUUCUUUCCCUAUAAUCGCUAUUAUCUUUGAACUGGUCAUAAUUUGCCCAUAAGAUUUCUCAUGUUGUUUUGAGGUGCAACGGAUUUUGAAUUUAGUGACAAGCAGUGGAAGCCAGAAGGCAAAUUAUGAAAAUGGAUAAAGAUCUAUAAUUAGCUGUUAUGGGAUGUCACAUAUCAUAUUGAUGGUAACGUUAUAUAUAUGUACAUAUAAUUAAUGGGGUUGGCUCACGAGCCCAUUAAUAAUGGUAUAUUAGCUUAUAUACUUCAAACAAUGUACUAUGAAGCAAUUUCACAAAUACUUGUUAGCUUAUGUUGAGCUUUAUUGAAUCAGUAGUUCACAGUUCAAUAAAAUGCAGGUUUGCUAUUUGAAGUACAUGGUUAUGGUGCGUACAUUCUUCAUAAGGCUAACUACUAAUUUAUCAUUGAAACUUGAAAAAUGUGAUAGAGAGAUGUAGAUAACAGCCGCAAAACACUGAGAUUGAAAAUCAGGGCUACUAAAUUCUAUUAAAAGUCCUUAAAAUAGACAGCGAUCACCCUGAAAUGUAUAUACUGAAACUAAGAAAUAUUAAUCGCAAAGUUAUGCAUUAAUAGAACUAUUGACUACUUAUCUUUAGCAUAAGGUAUAUUUUUAACUACAGCUUUCUGCUUUGUUCUAAGAACUAGGCAAAAGUGGUGUAUCUUCAAUCCAAUCAACAUAUAUACCACUUAUCUUCCUCUUCACUUCUGUCUAUUUUGAUUUGCACUUCAUAUCCUGCACUUGCUACUUAGAAAUAGUCUUUAUUCUGGACAUUGAAAGUAGAAAAAGUACUUGAAACAAUCAUUGGCACAGCCCGAGAUUCUAUUGAAUCGUGGACUCCAAGCUUUCAUAGUUCUAUAAAGAAGAUGACAAAACUUCAUACAACUGGCAUUCUGCUUUUAACAUUUGCACAACCUGAGCGAGUUAGCAAGCCCCUUGUUGCGUUCCCAUUGAAUAGACCUACUUCUGUUAUCCGCAGAAGAUCCACCACUCAAAAUGUUUAUCACCAGGCUAUUCUUAAACUGAGCCUAAACUGAGUAGAAACUUCCGCACAUCUCUCAGCAUUUACAUGAAGAAAUCGACAACUAUCCUCAUCUCUCAGCACAUCUCUCAGCAUUCUACAAAGUUGCAUUUCACUAAGCAAUCUAUCCUCUCCAUUCCUAGCAAAGUGACAUUGAUUCCCGUAUUUGUAAUCGCCUAACUUGGGUUUUGGGCAUAGCGUGGUCUUAAAAUUACCACCCAAUACUUUGUUCAGUGCCACUGGCAUCCACAAGCUCUAGCCCUGUUAGUUGAAUCAUAUUCAAUGGGACAGUGAGGCAGCAUUUCACUAACAUAUUCAAUUUGACUACUUAUAUUGACGCAAAUAUUAGAAUUUGAAAUCACUUCUUUUAUUGGAAUAUUAUAUUAAUAUGACCCCAAAUGAAAGUUCUUGAAUGGAAAUGAUUUUUAUUUACUUUUCGAACAGAUUCAAGAAAACCCAGAGAACACAAAAUUUACACAGUAAUAUGAUUAAGAGCUGAGAACGUAUAUGUAGUAAAUGUCUAUCAAAAAACACCCAAGGGUUUCUUUAAAAUUAGUAACUAGUAAACAAAAAGAAAGAAUCAUUUUACAUUUUUAGCAACUUUGGGGUGAGUGAGUGAGUGAGAAAUUGAAACCCUCAAGUGAUGACAACAGUAAGAUUCAGUAUGAAGUGAAACCCCAAUUUGAAAUGUAGGCAUGAGUUGCUGAGUCAGUAGAUGAAGCUAUAAAUAGGCAUUCGGUUUCCUUCUUUUCGGUUUGGAGGGCCAUGGAAUAGUGUAUUGGAGUGGGCUCCAAGUAAUAGCCUCUAUCACUGGAACGACACAUCUAUAAAAUGUGAUACAUGGGGAAGGAUUGGGCAUUUUAUUCUUAGAUUAGCCCCUUAUUUAGGGUGUAUAUUAAGCAGAUUAUAUAUUACAUGGAGAUGGAGUUUAUGAAAUAGAUUAAAAAGAAAAGGAAAUUUUGGUGCCUAAAGUUUGUCACUUGGAAUAUUUCGGUGUCUAAAAAUUCACUCACCACUUAUUUCAUGUUUGAUUAUAUGUUGAAAAGAUAUUAAAAUAGUAUAAUGCUAUUAAGGCUUAACGUAUAUUUUUUAUUAGUAGAGUGUAGAAUUUUUAAGAAAUAAAUUAUUAAAUUAUUAUAACUAACAUAUUAUUUUAAAGUUGUGUUAUGAAAAAAAUGAAAUAAAAAUGUACAGUAAAUAAGAAUAUUUUAAAACUUAUAUCUUUUUAAAAUUAGUUUUUAACAUAAGGUGAACUAUUUUUUUUUAAAUCACAUAUUCUAGUUAAAAUCAAAUAUGUAUUUAUACGAAGCUUGUAAAUUUUUUUUUUAGUACUGAUAUUUGAAUAUUAUCAAUAAAAAAAAGGGUAAUGUUCAUGCUGCAUUAUUUUUGUAGCACACAAAAGGACAACACCGUUUAUGUUAUAAUACUAUCGCUUCUGUUAUGAUAAUUUUUUUUGUGGCCAAAUAUCUUUUUUUUUUUUAAGUAAAAAAAAGUGGACAAAAUGCAAAUCAAUUUUUAAUCCUCAAUCUCUCCCAAAAUAUAAAUUCGUAGUUAACAAAACAAAAUUGUUGGAAAACCAUUAAGCUAGGUCUAUAGCUGACAAAAAGUUACUAACAAAAACAGAAUGUCCAUUUUAUAACUUUCUUAAAAAACUUUCCUUAACUUUUUUAAAAAUUUAAACAAAAAGUUAUUUCCAAUUUUUAUUUUGUUAUAAUGUUUAUAACAAAAUUCGUAGUUAACUAAACUCUUCUUAUACCCUUUCUCAACUGCCAUACCCUAACCCACUAAACCACGCUCAAUUAAGGCCAUCAGAUUCUCCCGGGCCCACAUUAAUCCAACUGCUCACAGAGACCGACAGCCUCUCUAUCUCCAUUUCAAGCUCCCUCUUCAACUGGCUUCUGCUACCGUCCUACUCUUUCUCGGCUUCGGAGUCCGUAUUUGCUCGGCCUGUCCCACGAAGCUCCCUCUCACUCCAAUUGUCGCCCCACAAGACCAAUUGCUUAAUCAAGACACCGAACAAGAAAAGGAUGAGAAGUUGAAACAAGAAUUUGAGAAUUGGAAAUAAAAAACGUACGCAUUGACCGUGCCUUUGAGAGUCGUUUCUCUUCAGAACUCAGUGCCUCAAUCUUGGGUUAAGGAUUUUAUGCGAAGUCAGGGAAAGAGAUUGAAGUUUCAGAUGAAUUUGUGUGCUAGCAUUGAUGGGAUCUUUAACAAUUUAUCUGUGCCAUUUAACAAAGUUAAGGCUAAGUCAGCUUCUUAUAUGGCUGCUGAUUUGGUUAGUGUUGGUGAUUCAUGGCUUAGUUUUGCCAUUAAAAAGAGAUUGAUUGAGCCAAUGGCUGGAGCUGAAGACCAAGAUUGGUUCAAAUGCUUAAGUCACAAAUGGAAGGUAACAUCUUUGUCUUUGAUCCUCGAGGUAAAAUAUGGGCGGCACCGUACAGGUGGGGCACAACGGUGAUAGCCUACAAGAAAAGUAAAUUUCGAAAGCAUAAUUUGGCUCCGAUUGAGGUAAUAAUUUUCUUUAAACUCAUUUAGUUUUAUAUCAAACAAAAUCAAGACUGCCUUUCUCUUCAAUAUUUUUUAUGAUAAUAUCUUUAGAAGCAUCUCAUUGACGGGUAACAAUGGCAUCCCUGAAAGAGUCUAUAAACUCAAUGAUAUUAUCUUCUACAAAUGGUUCAUUAAACUUUGUCGUUGUACUCAAAUGUACACUCAGAUCAAUGAGAAGCUAUGCUACGUUAGCAUGUAGUGAUGGCACUUAAUAAGUGAGUUGCUAGGAUGUGAACUAGAAAAAUUAAAUAUUGUCUCCUUGGGUAUGCUAGCUGGUAAGUCAGGGUUAAUAUCAGAGCUUAAGAUAGUAUAACCGUGAGAACCUAUUGACUGCCAAUUAAAAUAUCCAUUGAAAUGUCUAGGGAGUUAUGAAGGUGGAGGUAACUUCCAAUUUCUAAGGCCACAGAGUAGACAUCAUCCAGGAUCCUAGGAAAGUCCAGUUAACCUCCUGCUCGAUGCAAUUAAUAAAUUUGGUCAAUGCCACUGAAACCUGCUAACUGACGUCACAAUGCGACAUGAGCACUUCAAAAUGGGACAGACGGUCAGUAGCACUAAAUUUUUCUUGCCCAAGAUUGAGCAAUUGGUCUAACUACUAAUCCCUAUUGUAGGUUGAUCAUUAUUUUUUCAAUUAUGUUCAGUUUGACCCAAAAAGUUGCAGAAUCUUGAGCUGAAUAUUGUCACUGAACACUGUCAAUGUCAUUUAGCAUAGCCAACUAACUUGAUGUUAAAACAAACACACAGUGUGUCUCAUGUCUCACAAUUCAAAUUAUCAUCUGUAAUGUUGGAGAAUUUUUCCAAUGUAUGAAGUAUGCUUUGAUACGUGGGUUACCUUGGAGAAGAUAUCUCAAAAUAAAGAAUAUGGGGAGAAAACAGUUCAGUAGUUUAUUAUUCUGUAGUCAAGUUUUGUCUCGAAAAUGGUCAAAAUUUAAAUGAAUAAGGACAGGGGAUCUUCAUUCUUUUUUCCCUUUUUUAUACCAAGAUAUCUCUCAACCUUUAUAUAAUCCCCACUGGAUAUCUGCUUCUAAUAAUUAAAAUAAAAAUUUCACCGCUCUAACAAUAAAAAGUAACAUCUUUCCUCAAAUAAUUUACAGUUCCUCAUCAUCUUAGUGUGAGACUAUCAGUACAUUCCAAAAACAUAAUAAAACUGGUUUGAUCCUGUUUAUUGAUGUUUAAAUGUUGUUCAUUGUGACAGGUAGAAAUGAUGAGGCGAAGUUUAUUUGGACAUCAAUUAGUAAGAUCUUGUUUGAAGUUGUUUUCUGAAAUGAACUGCCAAAUGGUAGUUUUUUGGGGGCAUUUGAUGGCUCUUUUUUUUUCCUCAUUUUCAACAUGUGCCUGCUUGGAACAUGAAGGAUUAGGCUGCAGAGUUGUUAUAUAUUUUGAGAUGCUCUGGUCAUUGCACAAUUUGUUCACACUGGAAAUUAGAAUGAGAAAUUUGUUGAUGCUGUUUUGAGAGAUCUGCAUUCUAUGCACAAUAACAUGAUUAAUGAAAAUGCAUUGUAGGACUGGAAAGAUCUGUGGCAGCCUGAGCUCGCAGGAAGAAUUUCAAUGGUUAAUUCUCCCCGAGAGGUUAUUGGUUCAGUUUUGAAGUAUAGGGGAACAUCAUACAAUUCAAACUAUAUUGAUUCGCAAGUUGCUGGUGGGAAGAUUGCUGUUCAGCAGAAUCUGGCAUUACUGGCAAACCAGGUACUCUUACAGAAAUCAUAUCUGGUCAUUGCAUGUUAUUGCCUGACAACUGAUUUUGUUUGUAAAAGUCUGCUUCUUCAUACAUAUGAAUGCAUAUGUUAGUGUUUUCUUCUCCUUUUCAUACAUAUAAAUGCAUAUGUUAGUGUUGUCUUUUCCUUUUCACACAUAUUAAUACAUAUGUUGGUGUUCUCUCCUGAGAUGGAUGCAAUAAAGGCUUUUGCUCCUAAAUUUAGCUGAAGAAAUGGCAAGGGAUGUGAGAUUCUGUCUCAUUAAAUUAACAAAAACCCAAAACAAUGAAAAUCCAUAAUAAUGUGGUGUGGGUAAAUUGGCUCCAUUUGGUUCGUUUCCUUAAUGUGAAUGCGCGAGCAAUAGAGACUAACAAAAUGAAGUGACAACAAGAAGUCAGUGUCCUUUGAUGGAUGCAUUUUUAGGCAGAAAUAUGUUUGUAAUUGACCAAAUUUGUCUGGCAUGCCAAUUUCAAAAAAAUUAAAUUAUGUGGUUAUUAGCUGUAAUGAAGGGGGAUAGUAGGUGCAAUCAGGUGUAUCCAGGAAAGUUCAACAAAGUUUUGGUAUGGCGUAGUGAAAUUGGUUUGUGCAACUCAGGAGUCUUUCAGGUGAACGAUGAUAGGUUUUGAUUUAUGAAUAUUAUAAAUCUACUGUGCAUAGUAUUCUAGUAGAAUCAUCUAUAAGUUCUAGUUAUUGUAUACUUUGCCCGGUUUGAGUUAAGGGCACAUGUAAUAUGAAAGAUAGUUGUCGCAUCUUUUAGGUUACCUAACAUUUGAUCAAUCCUAUUAUGGGGGCUUCAAGAUGUCUAACAAUAUGUAGAAUGCCCAUGCUCCUCCCCAUUGUUUAUCUUCUACAAUAAUUUGUUUUAGAUGCUAAUAUCUUUGUCGAUACCGGUAACAAUAUUACAAUAUCUGCGUUUAUUGGGUUUUACAUAGGUUCGACUGUUUGACAGUACACACUAUCUGAAGGCAUUUGCAAUUGGAGAUGUAUGGGUUGCUGUUGGGUGGAUUAGUGAUGUUCUUCCUGCUGUCAAACAUAUGUCUAAUGUUGCUGUUGUUGUUCCCAAGUCUGGUGCUAGCUUAUGGGCUGAUCUUUGGGUAUACCCAUGCCUGCCAUUCUACUUCAAUAUUCACAUUGUUAUCUCCUUCAUAUUAGUGAUCAGUAAACACGAUAAUGUGACUAAUAAGUUCGUAUUCUCUUUAUAGGCAAUCCCUGCUGCCUCAAGACUUGAAACAAAACAAAUUGGAGGGCGAGUCAGAGGUGCAUUUCCAUUAAUCCAUCAAUGGAUAGAAUUCUGCUUGCAAACAGCGAGAGCAUUGCCUUUCAAGCAAGAGGUUAUCCCGAGCGCAUCUCCCUCUGCCCUUGAGAGUACUCUGGUUAAGUUGCCUGAAGAACUUUUCAAGGGUAAACCAAGUCUGGAUACUAACUUAAUUGCUGGAGUACCCCCGACUGAAAUUCUGGCCAGAUGUGAGUUUUUGGAGCCAUUAUUUGAAGCUACAUUGUCGGAUUAUGAGUGGCUGGUUACUAAUCUGCAAAAAUCCACUCCUGUACUGAUCAACAAGAUGCAACAUUACAUGUCAUCAUUGAUCUUUAGCUAAAGGUACCUUGAAAAGUGAAUGGCACUGCAUACCAGUCAUUAUAAUUGGGUCAGGGCAAUUAGGUCAGAGCAUAACUUCAUUAGGAAAAGAGGCUUCAGCUACGUUAAAUAUUACAGGAUGUACUGAGAUGGCUGAAGCUGUUGAGGUUUUACGAGAAACGAAAGAUAGUGUUUGUUUGAACAAAGUUGUUGCCAAUCUUGCAGAGUUCGAGAAGAAAGAUCACGAAGCGAAUGCCACCGAUUUCUUCAUCAUUGUUGCCUCUAUAGUUGAAGUUUCCUCAUUUGAAGCUGUUUAUGCAUAUGCUUUUUCCCUUCUCAAGUACAGGAAAUUGAAGAAUUAACCAGAUGUGAUAUGCUGAAAGAGGGAAGUUUUCUUCCUUGAAUGUGGUCUUUGUGAUUUGUCUUGAAGGAAUAGGGUGAUCACUGGCAAGAACCCUAUCAAGGUAGAUUUUAUGAUGUUAACAUAUCAUUAAGCAUUUUGUUACAUCAGCAAUGAUGCUUUCAUAGCAGCAUGAAAGUGUUUAAAUUUAACUGAAUGAUCUUGAUUGAUCAAUUAUGAGUUUUAAUCGAGUAAAAACUAAAUACAAUAAUCGUUAACAAAUAUUGAAAUUGGGUAAAUAAGAUCUUGAUAUUGAAGAAUUUGAAAUCACAACCCACACAGGAAAUCACCCUUCGCGUGGGGAUGGAGAUGUUUACUGCAGCGAUAUUGAAUAUGUCCACCGCUCUUUGGGUUAUGGUGCGACUUGCCCUGAAACAAUGGAAAAGAAUAAUUAAUAAUUUAACGCCAAGACAUAAAAUUAAAACGUGUGGACUCCGGUAGCUGCCCUACAAGUCUACAACUCUACAAGAAUAAUUUCUAGCCCUGUUGACUCCACUAACUAAAGAAAUUUCAAAACGUACAUAGAAUUCCACAACAAGCAAAACGUAUGGAAUUUAAUUUUUUGCCGUGUGGAACAAAAUACAAUUUAACAAAAAAGGAUAAGAAAAAUGGUAAGAUUUCUAAAAUGAGUGGAAGGUGAUUCAUAUUUUACUGAAAUGACUUGUCCUGAACAUUAAGACGAUUGAUUUUUUUUUUUUUAAUAACAUCAACUUCCAUAUCUUUCUAACCCCUAGAAUAUGCUCACGUUCAAGUCUAUCUUGAUAAUUUGAAAAAGAAAAUCAAAUCAAAUCAACACCAAAACAAUGAAAAGUAAAACUUUUGAAUUUCAACUUUAAACUUUUGUUAACCCCUAGAAUAUUCAGCGUUUUCAAAUUCUUCCGAUUGCAUAUCUUCUUCCUCCAUCAAUGCAAUAUUUGAACGAUUAUGAAAGAGUUUAAGAACAUAAAAAAUCUCCAAGGUUUAUACGGUAUAACAAAUUUAAAUUCUCAAUUACAAUAGAUAAUAAUUAAACUAAUAAUUUUUUAUGUACUUAUUUUAGUAAUUUCACCUAAGAAUAAUAUUGUAAUUAGAAAAAAAAAUCUAAUAAGUAGGGUGGUCUUAUACAAAAUCAACUGUACUGUGAUGAGUUUCCUUUUGUUAAUAAUUUUAGUCUAAUUUCAAUUGUACUGUGAUCGCUUCUCAAGGUAAGUGAAAGUUACAGAUGUGGCAAAAUAAAUAAUUAAGUUAACAAAAUGCUAACUAAUUUUCCUCAAUACCUAGGGUUGUACAAUUUCACCAACCUGGAAGAAUUGACAUUAAUGGACUGGUCUCCUCCCCAUAUAAUUAUAAUCCUUCUAGAAAGCUAUUUUUUAUUAAAUAUUUGCUUUUAAGUUAAUUUCAAUUAAAAAAUGUUUUAAGUUAUAUAUACUCUAAUGAGAUUCUGAAUUCCUUUAUUCCAAUAAUAAUGAAAACGUAUUAAAUUAGAAAUGAAAAAAUUGGUGUUGAUGAUUCAACCUAUUUGGAUAGAUUACGUGAAUAAAAUUAAAAUUUUGAUUUAAUUUUUGUUUAUUGUUAAUUCUCAGGCUAUCUUAAUUUCAAGAAUUUAGAAUGUUAAUUUGGUCAUGGAUUUCAACCCGUGAGUGUCAUAUUCUAGACUUAAUGGUAUCAUUCUUUGAUUGAGGGCAAUAACUCUCACUCCUCUUGUAAAAAAAUAUUUUCAACUAUUUUGAUGACUUAAAAAUUGAUAGAUUUAUUGUUGUCAUGACCAAAUUAUUCAUUUUAAUGAAAUAUAAUUAAUGCAUCAAAGUUACCAGGUUUAUGUUCUAUCUUAAUGCGCUUUUUUUUUUUUUUCAGUUAUAGCUUCUGCUUACGUCUGUUUCAUUUUUUUUUAAUAAAAAAACAAGGGAAGGUUUUUCCGAGUCAUCCAUUAUUUGAUUACCGUCAAUCAAGAAAACAACCAAAUUAAUUUCUCUCCAAAAUUUCCAAAAGCUAGAAAAUUUUGUUAUUUGAAAAUAACAUCAUUAAUUAUAGAGUGGAUCAAACCGCGUUAUUGUCUUUCAUAAAAUUGAUGUCUUUUUAAGAGUCAAUACUUUUUAUUUACGCAAACCAGUCGACAUCACACAUAUACUCUUUAAUUUGAUAAAUGGUUACACAAAUUUUGUUUACAAAAAUAUAUUAUUCAUGUUCUGUAUUAUUUUUUAACAUCAUAUUUUUAUUUAUUAUAAUUGUUUAAAGUUAAUUGUUAGGUUGAUAUAUAAUAAAAACAUAUAAUCGUUCUCUUACUAAACACACAUACUCAUAGUUUCUGUUCAUUUGUCAUCUCAAUCUAUCUCAUUUAUCCUUUGUUGAUAGCUCAAAACGCGUCACUGUGGAAAAUUAUAGCAAAACGACAAAUAUGGAAAAAAAUGGGAAGAAAAUUAAUGCAUGAAAGAGUUGCAGAAGACAACCAAAUAAGUCAACUAUACGCUAGUUGGGUGUAUAAAUUGUUAGAUGUGUUAUAAACAAAUAGCAUAGAGCCUUGGUUGGUUACAGAGAUAGAAAAAGUGUGUGUGUUUUUUAGAACUUAAAGAUAUAGUUAGAAUGGGUGGUUCAAAAUCAAAAAUGGUGAUAAUGUUUGUUCUGUUAUUAAUAAUAUUAGAAGGUGGGUGGAGUGAAGGAUGUUUGGAUCACGAGAGAUUUGCUCUUUUGCGACUCAAACAUUUCUUCGAUGAUACUGGUAGUUAUCUUUACAACUGGGGAGAUGGUGAGGGAGCUACUGAUUGUUGUCAGUGGGAAAGGGUUGAGUGCAGCAACACCACAGGCCGAGUGAUAGCGCUAGACCUUUUUGGCACGUAUCGGCGAGAGUACAGCUGGUAUUUGAAUGCUUCUUUGUUUACUCCCUUCCAACAACUUGAGUCACUUGAUUUACAUGGCAAAAAUAUAGCUGGUUUUGUUGAGAAUGAAGGUGCUUCGUCUAAUUCAAUUAAAUUACAUUUCGCUCUCCUAAUUUAAGUCGAAUAUCAAGACUGAGCAGCUAUAUGCAUAUUCAUUCAAUUGACAAUUUUUACAUAUUUUUUAAAAUGUUUAAUUUUGAAAUUACACCAAACAUCAUAUGUGAUCUUUGUUUUGAUUUUACUUGCAGGUCUAGAAAGAUUGAGCAACUUGAAGAGGCUUGAUUUAAGUCAUAACUUGUUCAACAAUAGCAUCUUAUCAUCUGUGGCUCAUCUUUCAUCACUAACAUCAUUAGAUUUAUCUGAAAAUAGAUUGGAAGGAAGUAUUAAUGUUAAAGGUACGUAAUUAAAACGUCAUCGCUUUUCCCAACUCUUUCAUUAACAUGUUAAAAUAAGAUUCAAGGCUUUGAAUUCAAUUUUUUUUAUGAGUAAAUAUUAGAAAAAUAGUUUUAAGCAAUUCAUAAAUACAAUUUUCAAUGUUUCUCAUAAUUACUCUAACUGUGAAGCAAAUACCCCAUGACUAAUUUAUCAUUUUGUCCAGUUAAAAAUGAUAAAAUUUAUCAUUUGUUUAUAUUGAUUUAUUAACUCUAUUUUAAGUCUUAAGUCUUGGCGUCUUGGCAUGUUUGCAGAAUUUGAUUCCUUGAGCAACUUAGAGGAGUUGGACAUGAGCUACAAUGAAAUAGACAAUUUCGAGGUUCCUCAAGGUAAACAAUUAAAAUAUUAUUUAAUUACAUUAAUUUAAUUCGUUUGAUUAGGGAAGACCUAAAAUGUACAAAAACAUAAUUAAAAAAAAAUAAAGAAACAGAGAAUUCAUAUUAUUUCAAAAAACAAAAGGUAAUACUAUUAUUUCAAAAAAAGAAUGUAAUAAAGAUUUGAUUCCGGUUCUUUAAUCUUUAUAGCAAUUGAACAACAAUGUUGCUCUUUUCCUAAAGCAUAAAAUAUGAAAUGAGUCAUAAUUGAAUUAGUCAUUUAUUUUGUUUAGAUCUAAAUUUAGACAAUAAAUUUUGAUUUUUUUUUCAAUCCUAUCCUUAUUAUUAUUGUUAAACAGGUUACAGAGGUUUGAGGAAGUUGAAAAGCCUCUAUCUAUCGAAUGUUGGAGUUAGAGAUGGAAGCAAGUUGUUACAGUCAAUGGGAUCAUUCCCAUCCCUCAACACUCUUUACCUGAAGGAUAAUAAUUUUACCGAUAUAGCGACAACUACUACUCAAGGUAAGUAAAAGGUACAUAUGUGGCCAAAUUUAUAAAUAAAUUGUUAAUUAAUUAAUUUUUCCGUAUUAUUAAUAAAGCUAAAUUCGUCGCUCCUUCCUUCUAAUUCUAAACAGAGUUGGCAAUUUCACCAACUUGGAGUAUUUGACAUUGGACUUGUCCUCACUCCAUUUAAGCCUUCUGCAAUUGCUUGAAGAAUGAAUUUAUUUAUUUAUUUAUUAUUAUUAUUGUUGUUGUUGUUGUUGUUGUUGUUGAAGUGAGGUGGGCAAGCGUUCACUCAAUUAAUAUGUGAGGAAUUAAUAAUUACAAUCCAAGGUAGAAUUGUGGAAAAUUAAAGCAAAAUGAGAAAUAUGGAAAGAAAGGAAGAAAGUUAAGGGCAUGAAAGACUAGGAGAAGACUAAAGACCACCAAAUAAGUCAACUGAAAACUAGCUGGGGCCUGGGUGUACAAAUUGUUAGAUGUGUUUGUUAUAAAUAACAUAGAGCCAUCUUGUUGGUUGCAGAGGCAGAGAGACACAGAGUGUGCAUUUUAUUAAUUAAAAAUAUAUAUAAAAUGGGUGGUUCAAAAUCCAAAAUGGUGAUAAUGUUAGUUUUGUUAGUAUUAAUAAUAUUAGAAGGGAGGUGGCGUGAGGGAUGUUUGGUGCAUGAGAGAUUUGGUCUUUCGAGACUUAAAACAUUUCUUCAAUUCUCCUUAUAAUUUUUGUCACGACUGACCGUUGUCAAUAGAAUGGGGCUGGGUGCAGGGUUGAUUUACGUUAGAACAAUAUAGCCGGUAGUGUUGAGAAUGAAGGUGUUUCAUUUAAUUUAAUUAAUUUACUUUCUCCCUCCUAAUUUAAGUGGAAUAUCAAGACAGAACAAUUAUAUGCAUCUUCGUUCAGUUGACAAUUUUGACAUAUUUUUUUAAGUGAUUAAUUUUGAAAUUACACCAAACAUUAUUUGUGAUCUCUGUUUUGACUUUACUUGCAGCGCUAGAGACGUUAUCAAGAUUGAGCAACUUGACGAUACUUGAUUUAAGUUAUAACUUGUUCAAUAAUAGCAUCUUGUCAUUUGUUGCCCGUCUUUCAUCAUUAACAUCAUUAGAUUUAUCUUACAAUGGAUUGGAAGGAAGUAUUAAUGUUAAAGGUACGUAAUUAAAACGUCAUCGCUUCUCCCAACUCUUCCAUUAACAUGCUAAAAUAAGAUUCAAGGCUUUGAAUUCAAUUUUUUUUUAUGAGUAAUAUUAGAAAAAUAGUUUUAAGCAAUUCAUAAAUACAAUUUUCAAUGUUUCUCAUAAUUUCAUCUUGUACUUUUGUAUGUCUUGACUUUAAGAUUAAAAAAAAAUUACUCUAACUGUGAAGCAAAUACCCCAUGACUAAUUUACAAUUUUGUCCAGUUAAAAAUGAUAAAAUUUAGGGAAAUUAUCAUUUGUAUACCCUUAGUUUACUCUAUUAUCAAAAAUACUACAACACUUUGAGGGUGUAUCAAUCGUCCACCCUAAGUUGACAAAAUGUAUUAGCCAACCACCAAACCGUUAGUUGCCGUUUAAAUAUGAUAACAUCAUAAGGGUAAUCUGGUCUUUUCAUAUGAUACAAGUGAUAAUUUAAGGGUAUACAAGUGAUAAAAAGAGAGUUUAAGGGGAUACAAGUGAUAAUUUUCAAGGGUAAAAUCGUCAAUUUACUGUAAUUCUGUUAACUUUCAAACGGCAAUUAACAGUUUGGUGGUCGGUUGAUACAUUUCAUCAACUUAGGGUGGACGAUUGAUACACCCUUAAAGUGUUGUAGUAUUUUUGAUAAUAAAGCAAAUAUAGGGUAUAUGAAUGAUAAUUUCCCUAAAAUUUAUCAUUUGUUUAUAUUGAUUUAUUAACUCUAUUUUAAGUCUUAAGUCUUAAGUCUUGGCAUGUUUGCAGAAUUUGAUUCCUUGAGCAACUUAGAGGAGUUGGACAUGAGCGGCAAUGAAAUAGACAAUUUCAAGGUUCCUCAAGGUAAACAAUUAAAAUAUUAUUUAAUUACAUUAAUUUAAUUCGUUUGAUUAGGGAAGACCCAAAAUGUACAAAAACAUAAUUAAAAAAAAAUAAAGAAACAGAGAAUUCAUAUUAUUUCAAAAAACAAAAGGUAAUACUAUUAUUUCAAAAAAAGAAUGUAAUAAAGAUUUGAUUCCGGUUCUUUAAUCUUUAUAGCAAUUGAAAAACAAUGUUGCUCUUUUCCUAAAGCAUAAAAUAUGAAAUGAGUCAUAAUUGAAUUAGUCAUUUAUUUUGUUUAGAUCUAAAUUUAGACAAUAAAUUUUGAUUUUUUUUUCAAUUCUAUCCUUAUUAUUAUUGUUAAACAGGUUACAGAGGUUUGAGGAAGUUGAAAAGCCUCUAUCUAUCGAAUGUUGGAGUUAGAGAUGGAAGCAAGUUGUUACAGUCAAUGGGAUCAUUCCCAUCCCUCAACACUCUUUACCUGAAGGAUAAUAAUUUUACCGAUAUAGCGACAACUACUACUCAAGGUAAGUAAAAGGUACAGAUGUGGCCAAAUUUAUAAAUAAACUGUUAAUUAAUUAAUUUUCUGUAUUAUUAAUAAAGCUAAAUUUUUGCUCAUUCCCUCUAAUUCUAAACAGAGUUGCACAAUUUCACCAACUUGGAAUAUUUGACAUUGCACGGUUCCUCUCUUCAUAUAAGCCUUCUGCAAAGCAUUGCAUCAAUAUUCCCUUCGUUAAAAAAUCUGUCGAUAUCUUAUUGUGAAGUCAAUGGUGUCGUACAUGGUCAAGGUAAAAGAAAAGUGUUGGUUGUGCACUCACUGAGUGUUGUCCUACGUAUUCAAUAUUUUUAUUUAUUUAUUUUAUUGUUUAAUGUUUCUGCUAGGUUUUCCUCAUUUCAAGAGUUUGGAACAUUUGGGCAUGAUGUCCACGCGCAUUGCACUCAACACCAACUUUCUUCAAGUCAUCAGUGAAUCGAUGCCUUCUCUUAAGUACUUAUCACUGUCAUAUUCUACUCUUGGCACUAACAGCAGCAGGAUUCUUGAUCGAGGUUAAUCAGAUGCUCCCACCCUCCAUUCUUAAUCUAUAAUAUUAAUUUUCAGUUAAAUAUUUAAUUACACAAACGAAUCACUUAUUAUAAAAGAACAAUACGCAUUCAUUAAUUUUUAUAUUAUAUUAAUUGAUGAAUUUAAUAAAUUCCAGGCCUCUGUUCGCCGGUGCAUCUGCAAGAGUUAUACAUUGGUUCUAACGAUUUAAGAGGUAGCUUGCCUUGGUGCAUGACAAAUUUGACAUCCCUCCGAAUAUUAGAUGUUUCUUCCAAUCAACUUACUGGAAGCAUCUCCUCGUCUCCCCUCAUUCAUUUGACAUCCAUUGAAAAGCUGUAUCUUUCAAACAAUCACUUCCAGAUCCCAAUUUCACUUGAACCACUUUUCAAUCAUUCAAGACUCAAGACUUUUUAUGCUGACAACAACGAACUAAAUGCAGAAAUAACUCAGUCACAUUCUUUGACCGCCCCAAACUUCCAAUUAUCACGUCUCUCAUUGUCUUCCGGUUAUGAAGAUGGCGUCACAUUCCCCAAAUUCCUUUACCAUCAACAUGAUCUGGAGACUGUUGAGCUCUCACAUAUAAAGAUGAAUGGAGAAUUUCCAACUUGGUUGUUGGAAAACAACACAAAAUUGAGACAACUUUCUCUCGUCAAUGAUUCUCUUGGAGGACCUUUCCGGUUGCCAAUUCAUUCACACAAGCGGUUAGGAAUGUUGGAUAUAUCCAACAACAACUUCCGAGGCCACAUUCCAAUAGAAAUUGGAGAUGUUUUACCAAGUCUAUACCUUUUCAACAAUUCCAUGAAUGCUUUAGACGGUAGCAUUCCCUCUUCACUUGGUAAUAUGAAAUUCCUCCAAAUUCUGGACUUAUCCAACAAUCACUUGACUGGUGAAAUCCCCGAGCACUUGGCCGUUGGUUGCGUCAACUUGCAGUCUCUUGCAUUAUCAAAUAACAACCUACAAGGUCACAUGUUCUCUAGAAAUUUUAACUUGAUAAACUUGAAAUGGUUACAAUUGGAGGGCAAUCGCUUCAUAGGUGAGAUCCCACAAAGUUUGUCUAAAUGCUCCUCACUAGAAGGAUUGUAUCUUAACAAUAAUAGUCUUUCGGGUAAGAUUCCACGAUGGUUGGGUAAUCUCACAUGGUUACAAUAUAUUAUAAUGCCCAAUAAUCAUCUUGAAGGCCCUAUUCCAGUGGAGUUUUGUCAGCUUGAUUUGCUUCAGAUUUUGGACAUUUCAGACAACAACAUAUCUGGAAGUUUACCAUCUUGUUUCCAUCCUCUCUCUAUCAAACAAGUUCAUCUUUCAAAAAAUAUGUUACAUGGACAGCUAAAAAGAGGUACAUUCUUUAAUUGCUCUUCCCUUGUGAUAUUAGAUCUUAGCUAUAAUCGCUUGAAUGGCAGCAUUCCGGAUUGGGUUGAUGGGCUUUCUCAGUUAAGCCACCUUAUCUUAGGUCAUAAUAAUCUUGAAGGUGAAGUGCUAGUUCAAUUGUGCGAAUUGAACCAACUACAAUUGUUAGAUCUUUCUAAUAAUAAUCUUCACGGUCCUAUUCCUCCUUGCUUUGAUAACACCACACUUUAUGAAAGUUACAGCAAUAGUUCUAGUCUUGAUGAGCAAUUUGAAAUAUUUUUUUCCAUCGAAAGCCCUCAGGGAAAUGUAGAAAAGCAAAUCCAUGAAAUUUUUGAGUUCACAACAAAGAACAUUGUGUACAUUUACCAAGGAAAAGUGCUUAGCCUCCUAUCAGGACUUGAUCUUUCUUGCAACAAGCUAAUUGGUCCUAUUCCUCCUCAAAUUGGAAAUUUGACAAGGAUUCAAACAUUGAAUCUAUCACACAACGACUUGAUAGGAUUGAUCCCAUCAACAUUUUCAAACUUGAAGCAUGUCGAAAGUUUGGAUCUUUCCAACAACAAAUUGAAUGGGAAAAUCCCUCAUCAACUAGUGGAGUUAAAGACAUUGGAGGUUUUCAGUGUGGCAUACAAUAACUUAUCAGGCGAAAUUCCAGAAUGGACUGCACAAUUUGCAACCUUCAAUGAGAGUAGCUAUGAGGGAAAUACUUUUCUUUGUGGAUUGCCAUUGCCCAUUUGCAGAUCACCAGCAACUAUGUCGGAGGCUUCAAUUGGCAAUGAACGAGAUGAUAAUUUAAUUGAAAUGGACAGUUUCUUUAUCACAUUUACAACAUCGUACGUAAUUGUGAUAUUUGCAAUUGUUAUUAUUUUAUAUGUAAAUUCUUAUUGGCGACGUAGAUGGUUUUACUUUGUUGAAAUGUGGAUAACUUCAUCUUACUAUUUUGUUGUAGACAAUCUUAUUCCAACAAGAUUUUAUCAUUGAAAUUAAUUAGUAGUUUAAUUACGAUUCUUUAAGUACUAAUCAAGUUUGUUUAGGAAAUAUUUUUUUAUUAAAAUUGUAGUAGUAUUUAGCAUUAUAUAGCUUCCAACUUCCAAGCACUUCACAUUUGUCUCUACACUUAAAAAACUGAGUGAUCAUGUUUUGCAGAUCUGGAUUUGGAGCAGGAUGGAUCCAAACCCAUAUCUGUCCACCGUAACUUAUAGCUUCCCUAUACUGUGCAGCAUACUUAACUAAGAGAACCAUCUCCAAUGUUAAAAGCAUUCACUCUAUAACAUUCAUUUAGAAACUAUAUUCAGAAUAAUUUUAUAAUUAAACACAAGAAAUGAAACACACAGAUACACUUGAUCGCCUAUUUUACUCUAAAAAAGAACGAUUAUUGUGCUAUCAUCAUCUUCUUCACUAGCAACAUUAACACCAAAUCGAUGGACCCAUACAUUUCAUCAAGAAAGGUCUAUAUCCAAUAAAGUUGAAGCCUAACAAAAAAUUCAAGAAGAUUCAUGCCUCGCCACAACAAGGGGCACAACAACAUCAAAGUAGAGAUUAAGCAGUAUUCUCAAAGCUAAAACUCUCAAAUCCACCCACCAGAAUUUCAUAGCUCCUCAACAAUUUUAAGAACUAAAGAUAAUUAGGAUUUAACAUUAGUUUUUUAUAUAUUAGUUUCAUAAUUUACAAAUCAAUGAAGAUGAAGAUUAUGCUAAUAAAUUCAAAUUAUACCAUACAUUCUCUAGAUGUUACCAAAAAUUUCUAAGUCAAUCCCACAUAUUUCAUAAUUUUAAGACUAGAAAAUUUCACUAGUUAGAAGUUUCAUUACCUUCAAGUGGAAGAUGAAGAACAUUAUACAAGUGAUUCAGAUUAUAUCAUACAUACUCCAAAUGCAACUAGAAAUUAACAAGUUCAUGCACACAUAUUUCAUAACAUUAUGAUUGAAAAGUUUCACAGAGAAAUUCUAAAUUCAAUCUCUUGCAUGAAGGCAAUUUGAUUGAUUUGAGUUACUUUCUUAUCAAGCUACUAAUAUAACAUUCAAGUCAGGGAGAAAAUAAAUUAAAACUGGGAAGAAAUAACAGUAAAAAUUUGUUGCUCAACAUGAUGUGUAUUUUUUUUCAAGGCAAUUUGGAAACACAAUUGUUACCACAGAUAUUCUUCUCAACUUGGAGAUAAAUACAAAUAUUAAAAUGCAUAUGAUCGCACAUACUACUUCGAGUUUAGUAAGAUUUCAUUAAAAGAAGCAAUCAAACCACUUAUCAAUUGUCGCAGUCGUUCUAUAAACUAAAAUAGCAAUAUAAUACAAGAAAAAGAACAUAUAGAUACUUGGCAAGAGUUCAUUAAGAAGUCACAUCACAUUCAGGUGAGGAGUUUGCUUCUGAUAUCUUGCUAGCUGGGGCUUUUUCUUGUCUUUCUACGUAUGCCGAGGGAAACCAACCAGCUUGGCCCUUGCAUUCACCUUCCGACCAUCCAAUAGGAGCCACCUUGAGAAGUUAUAACUAAAAUGGUGAAUUAAACAAAAGUUGACCGUUCAAAGACCUAAGGGGAAAACUAAUUCUUUUACGUAGGAGGAGUGAAUUAGUUGUGAUCACUGAAAUAACAGCAUAACUAUGGAAGCAUAACAAGAUAUAAAUUCACACGUCUAUAAGGGUAAACUGGGUGGUUGAGAACUGAGCUAGCAACCCUACUAUAUUCUGAUUUGCACUUCAAUGUAAAAGGGAAUAUAUGGUAGGAAGAAAGAAAACCAACCAUCAUUUGUUAACUCAUUGCUUUUCAAUCAAAAUUUUAAGAACAAAAUGCCAUGUGCUUUGAACAUCAAAUAAGUAUAAGCAUUAGUUCUAAAUUCCACAUAUCAUAAGUUGUUAGAAGGAUAAGUUAAUAGCAGAGUAGAAAAAUCUAUGUGUUGGUAUUUAGAGGGGAAAGUACCUGGCGAACCACAACAUAAUCAUCAAUUGAAAGACUUAGCUCUCCAUUUGCUUGAGCAUCAAAUGGAUGUAUAACCUGCAAGAUAAUGGGAUAAAUAGAACUUAAAAAAAGCAUAACAAAAGCGGCAACAGUAGCAGCAACGUUCAUUGUAACCACUAUGAUCAUGGCCAACAAAGAUAUAUUAGAAACAAAAUUCCAUUUUUACUACGACAUUAAUAUGUACUAUACGAUAUCAUGACGAUUGGGUUACUAAGAGCUAUCAAAGUCUAAUAAGUUCUGUAUAACUUUAUGUAGUUAUUUAAAUUAUGGAUCAGAUUUUAAAUUUGAAAUUUUGACUGCUCUCCACAAAACAUGGCCUAUGCACAAGAAAGUCAUAGAUAAUGAGGAUUACAAGUGUCCGACAUCUUUUGAGUGAUGGAUUUAACAUGAGAGCUUAUGGUCAGUCAAUUUCCUCUGCCUAGCAAUAUAAGCUUUCUCGGCCAGAUUUAUCAUCAAAUACAUAGAUUGCCCCCAAGUCACAUCCAUAUAAACAUAGUUUUUCUAGGUAAACCAAGUAAGGAGUAUCAUAAUUCAGACAUAAUCAUAAAAAGGCCCAUCUAACUUAAGAGAAAAUCUCAAAAAGAGGGAUGCUGAGCUAUCAGUCUUGUAUCUAUAAGCAAUAUCAAGACUUUACGUCACCUGCUACAUCGUGAGUGGCUACACAACUUUCAGUGGUUUGUCUUUCUUUGGCACGCCUAACUCAGCUUCGAUGUUGCUGAGAUAUUGAUAGUAGAGACACAUGAUACUUCUAGCUCAUGCAUUCUAUCUAACUCAUCCAACAACUAUCUCUUUUUUAAUUCAUUAGUGUUUGCUAAACCUCAUGCUUAAAAGUCCUGUUCUCCUAAACAAAGUUUCCUAAGAAUGACUUCCUUAGCACCACAGUUGGACACUUUUAGAGCAAUUUUAUUUGGGGGAAAAGAAUUUUCAAGGUGUUAACUAAUAAAUUUUAAAAAAUAAUUACAAUUUGUCCUACAAUCAUAUGACAAUUUAUCUGGGAUGAAAGGAUACAGAUAGACAUCUUCCACUUUCAAGACUAAUCACUACUUCCGUAGAUGUUGUGCAAUAAUACAAAUACUUGACCAGAUGGUAGAAAAAAAUUUUAUUGCUCCAAAAUUAAAAUAAGAAUGCAAUAUGUUAAGCAAAAGGCUGUGCAACAUCAAAUUAAUUGAUAAGUUUGUAAUUCAGUAAAUUAACAACUUUCAUGGUAAAAUACAACAAAUUUCUUUUGAAAAAAAAUAAAUAAAUCUUAAAAGACAACAUUCAAUUUUGUGCACAUCUUAUUUCUUAAGAUUUUUCAGGAGGAGGGCAAUAGAGGGACUUUCACCUAUGCAAGAGAGCAGAAGCCUUACUUUCCCUAUAAAGUAGACGUCAUUCUGAUUAAUAUGCGUUUGCAAAUCAGCUCCGUUUGAAUCAGUAUUCUGAUAGACACACGAGGCAUUUACAUCCAUUUCCAAAGUCACAUGUUGCGAGGAGGACUCAUUUGAUUGCUCCUAUACGAUCAUCUAAUUCAAGUAGUCACAAUUAUUCUUUUGCAUAAGUGAGACGAAAAUGAUAAAUGCAAUAUUAUCAGCAGUAAACAAGAAGAGAACGCUCCAAGAAAUAGAUAGAUGCAGACAAGCAAGUUAAAAUGCAUAGUCCCAAACCUCCGCAUACAACUUCUCUAAAAUAGCAAUAACGUGUUGAUGCUAUGUUUUCUCAGCAUCUACCUGCAAAGGCCCGAGACCAGGAAAACAACAAUAAAACCACUAGCUGAAGGAGAAAGCAAAGAAAGAAAUACACUUGACAUAAAUCUUGACAAGAAGCACAAAUUAAGACAUAACAAACCCCAAUCAUAUUGUUUAGAACUACCAUUCGUUAUUUCGUUAUUGUAACAUUUCGAACAAGUGUUGACUUAAUUCAACAUUGUUGGAAAGAUAGGCUUUUAGAAGCAGAAGAAAGCCUCUCAAACCAAAGUGCUGGUCCUUGUAUUGAUCAAGGGAUGUAAACAUAUUACAUUUGCAGGAUGAGAUUUAAUCACUCCCCUGAUUUAUUCGGGUUGCAGUAAAACUAAGCGAGCAACUGUUUGACUUUCAAGCAACAGCUAAAUCAGCUAUUAAAAUUCAAAUAAAAUCAUAAUAGAAUAAUAACAGGCCAUCUUGCAUCAAAAAUUAAGUUUAAUUUGUGAAUUGUUUUCUAUAGACAUGUCAGUUUCUGCUAUUGAAAUGUUAAAAGCAUUGAAAAAUUAUUCAAUAAAUUAUGCAAGCAUUAAAAUAGAGGACAUAUUAAAAAGUUUCUAAUUACAAUGUUAAGAUUUCCUAUAUUUUAGCAUUUGCAUAUUUUAAUUUAUUUAAAAGCUACGUAGAUCAACUUUGGGCAUGAAGAUUUUAGCUUCUACGAGACUUGAUUGGAAUAUGCAUAAGGAAGUGUGUUAAAAUAUGAUGCAUCCAACGAAAGACAAACCACGUGUAGUCUUUUAAUUAAGCCAAAGUAGCAGCUCAAACAAAUGACACUUGGACCAACAUGCAAUCAUGAAGUGGCCGGAAAAAGGACAAAUGCAACUUUGGCUUAAAUAAAAAAUAACAUGUGACUCGACUUUUGCUGGACAUGCAUCAUGUUAUUACAAGACAACAAAAAUCAGUAUGAUAGUACUAAAAGUUGACAAUAACAUGAAGAUAAGAGGCAGAAUGUCAACACAUGCAUAGGCACACACAAGAAAGUAUUAACGUAUAUACCAUAGCAAAAAGUAUUUGAUAUGUCAUCUGUUGCUGCUGUGAUUCAACUGACAGCAUGGCAGCUGUUGCUUCUCUACCAAGAGCCAUUAUUGUAGAUUUAAGCUCGGUCAAUCUUGCUUCUGCAUUUCGAAGCUUCACAGCACUCUCUGCUGAUAUAUCAGAUUCCCUAAUCUUUGAUCGGUGCCUAAAUACUUCAGCUGCCUGGUGAAAAUAUUCAAUAUAAAUCUAAUAUAAUUCUCAUCUUGCCUUAUGCAUGCAUAUGUUACCUCAAAGCUUACCUGGGCUUCAACUUCAUGUCGAAGUUUGUCAUAACGAUGAGUCAGGUGUCGAGCAUCUUCCAAAGGUGCUCCGUUGAUUAACGCCCGUAGUGGCUCAGAUACCUACAUGUCCAAAAACCUGUAACAUAGUUAGAAAAAUGAAAAGAAAGAGCGAAACCUCAAUUAAAAAGUUCCUCCAACAUAAUCAUGGAAUUUGGGCCUACUUCAAGGAUAUAUAUAUAAGGAUAAUUUAUGCAAUUUUGGGUCUUAGGAUGAUUCAUAUUAGGUUAGUGUUCUUCUCUUCUGUAUUUAAGGUUAAAAUAGAAAUAAACCUAUGAAAAUAUCUAAAUUAGGGCUGUAAGACUUCCACAUGCAUCCUUCAGUCUCAUGGAUUUGAUUUCACUAUAGAUGCAAGUGUCUUUAUUGAAAAUGCUCGGAGUCAAUUGAGAGAACUCACGGCCAAUAACUUGUCACACGCUAGUCUUUGCUAGUGAUGUAAGAAGUCACAAGGUCUCUUCAACAUUUGAACCAAUAAAAUUAUUAAGUCAUGGAUGUCACUAGCAAUGAUUUUAAUAUAAAACAUUAAAUAUUUCAGAGUUGAAACUUUAAAAUGGAUUCUUUUAUUCAAUAUCUUAGAACUAAGUUUCCUUAUGAGAAGAUAAUAGUUUCCGUAGCAAUUUACAUAGAAUUUUCUAUAUUUGAAUUAUUUUCUAGUUAGGGAUGAACUAACCUGAUCACGAAGAAUCCCAAGCAAAGUUUCCCUCUCAUUUUCCAUCAAAUCAUGUGAAGUGCCAAAUUGAAGAGCAGCUCUUGCAACGCAAGAAUUGUCACUUUGAUUCUCCACUCCAUACUUGCAACAAUCUUCGGCCAACUUUCUCGCUACAAUAUUUGAAUACAAAAAUAUUGUACACAAGAACUAGUCAAGAAAAUUAAAAAAAAAAUCAAAUAUUAUAACGAGAGCAAGAGCAAACGAACAACCUAUUUCCAUUUGUUUCAAGCUUACUGCAACAAACACUUCAACGCCACGGACAACAUUCCUCUGACAAUAUUCCAAAUUAUUGUUCAGAUAAAACCAUAGAAACCAUCAUAAUUGUUCAACAUACAUUAAGCUAAAGGAGGAUGGUGCCUUAGCUGCCCUGGUGGAAUUGUAUAGAUUUUGAAGUUGUUGGUGACACUCAAUUUCAGAUUCAUCAACCGCAACAUUUUCAAUACCAAGAUGGAGCAGAUGCUUCAAUACUGCCUGUACAAAUCAUAAAAAACUAAUGAAAAAUAAAUAAAAUCGAGAAAUUUCACUAACUAAAAGUCUAAAUAUAAUUUUUUAAAAAAGAAAAGAAACGGACUUGCUGCUGCUUGGCGACUUGUUCUCGGAGCUUGAUUGCCUGUUUCUUGAUAGCUUCCAUACUGUUUCUUUCAAAAAGCGACGACGGCUCAGCUCAUGGAGGUGGAAAAAAAAAGUGUGAUCGGGAAAAAUAAAAAGGCAUGAAUAAUUUUUGAAAAAAAGCGAAAAUCAAGGAAAGCCAGCUCUUUCCAGAAAAUAAAAAAAGAAAAAAGAAAAAAGAAAAUUAUAAGUUUGAAAGGAGAAGAUGAUUGUGGAAGUGUGCGGUGUGGCUGACAGCUACUUGGAUUGUAUUGUCGGGUAAGGUAAUAGUAGAGAAUUUUUUUUUUUUAAGAAAAAUAGUAGAGAAUUUUUUAAGAAGCUAGAACAGAGCAUGACAUUAGACUUUUGUUGACCAAAGGAUGUUGUUUUAUUCUUCUUAUACUUUACGUUUGGUUUGGUUUUUCAAACUAAAUAAUCAAGUAGCAAAAAUACAAAUUUAGAGAUUAGGGGGUGAACUAGCUAGGUGGUUUACAAAUAUUCCUAUUUGUAAGGUGAAUUAAUUGAAUCAUGAGAAAACAAUGUGACCAUAGCUCAAUAUGAGAUGAUUUCGGAGAGGCAUAUUGUUUUCAAGUGAAUUUGAUCCAUUAAGAGAUGAAGUGGAUUGAAGUGGAAAGUUUAAAUAACAAAUCCUUGUUCUUGAGUUUUACGACGUUGUUACUCCUUCAGGUGGCAGAUUAUGCAAGUGAAUUCAAAAACACAAUGCAUCAAUCACGGGGAUGCUACAUCAAAAGACGGGAUCAUAGUCUAUGCAUUGAACAGUUACAGUUGCUGCUACCAAUUGCCUCGGCAAAGAUCAAGAAGACUGAACGGGAAGUUAAUGCCAUCAAGGAGUUGUCUAGUGUUCUUUUCCUUAUGCUAUGAUCGGUGCUCUUGAGGCUGCCCUGAAACACAGGAAAAUACUUCGAUAUCCUCCAUUCGAUGAUGCAAAGAACCGGUUAAUGUAUGAUUACCUAAUUGACUCAGGAUCAGGUAACAACAACAACAAUUUAUUAAUAGUAAUAUCACAAACGAAGAAGAUUUCGGAGAGGGAGAUGUAAGCGUAUACUGUUUACAGGUUUGAUCCACUGGGGAUGAAGUGGUCUCAAGUGGAAAGUGAUUUAUUAAACAACAAAUCAUUGUUCUUGGGUUAUACCUCAUGAUGUCAUCAAGUGGAAGAUGAAGAUCGUUUGAUAUUGAAGAAUUUGAACAGAAAGCCCAUAGAAAGUACUUAAAUAAGCAUAUUCUUGUUGGGGUAGAAUAUUAAGAAAGGAGUUGUCUACUGUGUGUUGCGUAAUUAUGCUAUGAUCGGUGCUUUCAACAUUGCCCUGAAAACAGUGGGAAAUACUUCAUACCCUCGACAUGAUGAUGAAAAAUUGGUUACCGAUUACCUAAUUGACUCAGGUGACAACAAUCCAUUAAUAGCACAAUUUGACGUGAUGCCGUUUAGGUAUAUGGUUUUCAAGUUUGAUUCAUCAGUGAUGAAGCGGACUAAAAUUAAAAGUUUAAAUGAUAAGUCAUUGUUCUUGGGCAUAUCGUCAUUACUACUUCCAGUGAUCAAAGAUGAAGAUGAAGAUGAAAAUUGUGCGAGUUCAAGAUUACCAUCAACUCAAUUUUAUGAUUGGAGUGUCUCACCGUGACUCAGACAAAUUCUGAUUCAACCUCCUUCACCAAUGGAUUUUGAUUAGUUAUUUUGUGAUCAAGCAACUUAAUUAAACUCACAGUUUGUUAGUCUAAUUUUAGUUUUACUGUGACCACUAUUCAAGGUAAGCGAAAGUUACAGAUGUGGCAAAAUCAAUAAUUAAAUUCAUAAAAUGUUAAAAAAUAAAACUUAUAAAUGUUGCAUGACUACUUACUAAUAAAUAAAUAAGUUAGAAUGUAGUUAGUUAAUUUUACACCAUAUUAUAUAUUAUUCGAUAAUAAUAUAAAAUAAAAAUAAUUAAAAAAUAAAUAAUUGAAUAAAUAAAUAUGGCUUUCUAAACAAUAAAAAUUCUAGAGUUAAAAUUUAUAUUAUUAUUUUAUUUUUUAAAAUUGACAUUUUUCUAUUGUCUUACAUGUACAAAGAUUUUGAGAGUUGAGAAGAAUAUAUUUAAUGAAGCUUGAUAACAUUUGAUGGGAUAGCAAGUAAGGGUAAAUAAGAUAUUUUUAUUUGUUAUUUAUUUGAAUUAUAUCUAUUUGUUCAAGUUAAAAUACUAAAUAUAAAUUGGAGGUAGACAUUUUAACAGAUCAUCUAAGCUCUCAAAUCUGAAAUUUUGUGUAGAUUUAAAUUCAUAAUCCCCAAUUAUUUGAUCAGCAACUAUCAAGAACUAACCAAAUUUAUUUCUUCAUGACUUCCAAACACUAGAAAAUUUUGUUAUUUGAUAAUAAUAUCAUUAAUUAGAGUUUAUCAAACCGCAUUAUUUUCUUUCAUAAAAUUGAUGCCUAUUAGUGUCACACUUUAUUUGUAUUACCUAGCGGACAUCAACUUUUUUUUUAAUUUUUUAAAUUAAAAAGACCAUUUGAUUUUAACCCAUGUUCUUGGCCUUAGGGAAGCUGACUUUUUUUAUAGUCGAUAUGUGCUUGAACUUUGUUGUGUUAAUUAUUUCAAUCCCCGAUUAUGCAAUUUUUAAAUUAUAGCCUAACGGCGGUCUCAUCACCACGUGUGUGAUUUUCUUUUGCCAAUAGGAUCUGCAGAGAGCUUGAUCUCAUCCAAUAGCAAAAUAAACUUCCUAAUAAGUGAAGGUAUAGUAUAAAUAUUUCACCCCCAUAUUAUUUAUUAGCAGCUUGAUUAUUUUAUAUGCAUCUUUGAUUUUAAUUUUUUUUCCCAUAAUUGCUACUAUGUUCGAACUGGUCAUGAAUUAUCUAUAAGAUUUUUCAUGUUGCUUUUAGGUGCAUUGGAUUUUUUGAGUUUAGUGCAAGAGUAGAGGAAGGCAAAUUAAGAAAAAGGAUAAAGAUCUAUGAUUAGCUAUUUUGGGAUGUCUCAUAACAUAUUGAUGCUAACAUUAUACAUAUGUAUAUCUAAAUAAUGGGCUUGGAUCAAGAGCCCAUUAAUAAUCAUAGAUUAGUUUAUAUAGUUCAAAAAAUGUACCAUAAAGCAAUUUUACAAGCACUUGUUAGCCUAUGUUGAGCUUUAUUAUCAAUAGUUCAUAGUUCAUCAGUGCACUGCAAGUUUACUACUUGAAGUAAAUGUUGUGGUGCGUGCAUUCUUCAUAAGGCCAACUAUUGAAUUUAGCAUUGAAACUUACAAAAUGUAAUAGAAAGAGGUAGAUAACAGCCAUAAAACACUAAGAUUGGAAAUCAGGGCAACUAAAUACUAUUACAAGCCCUUAGAAAAGACAGCGAUCAUCCUGAAAUAUAUAUACUGAAAGUAAGAAAUGUUAAUCGCAAAGUUAUGUGCCAACAGAACUAUUGACUACUUGUCUCUAGUAGAAAGUAAAUAUUUUUAACUUCAGCCCUCUACUUUGUUCUAAGAACAAGGCAAUAUAAGGAAACAUCGGUGUCUAAAAUUUGCCGCUUGGAAUAUUUCACUGUCUAAACAUUCACUCACCACUUAUUUCAUUAAUGAAUUUUGUCUAAUUAUAUGUUGAUAAAGAUAUUAGAGUAAUAUAAUACAUUUAAGGCUUAACUUAUAUUUUUUAUUAGUAGAGUGUAGAACUUUUAAGAAAUAAAUUAUUAAAUUACUAUAACUAACAUAUUAUUUUAAAGUUAUGUUAAGGAAAAGAAUGAAACAAAAAUAAAUAAAUAAAUAAGGGUAUUCUAAAACUUUGAUCUUUUUAAAAGUAGAUUUUGACAUAGAUAAAAUAAUUUUUAUAUUUUUUAAAUCACAUACUCUAGUUAAAAUCAAAUUUGUAUUUAUAAAGUUUGUAAAUUUUUUUUUUUUUUUAGCACUGAUAUUUGAACACUAUCAAGAUAAGAAAUAGGGCACUGGUCAUGCUACAACAUUAUCAUAGCACGUAAAAAGACAAUACCAUUUAUUUUAUUGUACUAUCAUUGUUGUUAUAAUAGUAUUUUGUUAGUGGUCAAAUAUUUUUUUUUUAAGUAAAAAAAGUGAACAAUGUAAAUUAACUUUUAAUCUCUCCUAAAAUUCUAAUUCCUAGUUACGAAACAAAAUUGUUUGAAACCAUAGGUGAUAGGUGAUAGAAGUUACUAACACAAGCAAAUUUGACGGUCCAUUUUAUAAAAUUUGUUAUUUACCAUUUUACCACCUAUAUAAGGAGUGCCGCAUCGACAUAUCAACUCAUUUGCAGAUUAUUUUAAUUUUGUAAAAUUCAUUUAACCUGCACUUGGUCGCCCCUAUUCUCUGAAUGGUUAUGGCGAUAUCAUCAUUAUCGUUACUUGUACCAACGCUAAACCCUUCUUAUUCCCUUUCUCGCCUGUCAUACCCUAACAUUAUAUCCCGUGUCCACACUAAAGACAAGUAGUCAAUUCAGGCCAUCAGAUUAUAGUGGACCCACAUCAAUCCAACUGCUCACAAUGACCGACAGCCUCUCCAUCUCCAUUUCAGGUUUCCUCUUCAACUGGCUUCUGCUUCCGCUGUAUUUGCUCCAUUUCUUGGAUUCGGAGUCCGUAUUUGGUCGGUCGGUCCCGCACAGCUCCCUCUCACUCCAAUUGUCACCCAACAAGACCAAUUGCUUAAUCAAGGCACAGAACAAGAAGAGGAUGAGAAAUUGAAACAAGAAUUUGAGAAUUGGAAAUCGAAAACGUACGCAUUGACCGUGCCUUUGAGGGCAAUUACUUUUCUUGAGAAUUGAAGUUUGGUAAUGUAAUUUGUUCUCCAUCUGUGUUCCCUUUGUAGUCAUUUCAAUUAUUUGUUUGUUUGCUUUUAUUUGCACUUACGAAGUCUCAGGUAUAUCUAAGCAGGAAUGAUGCAGGGGAAAUUGAUCCCCGAGAUAAAAUAUGGGCGGCAUCACAUCGGUGGGGCACAGUGGUGAUAGCUUACAAGAAAAGUAAGUUUCGAAAGCAUAAUUUGGCUCCGAUUUUGAGGUAAUAAUUGUCUUUAAGCUCAUUUAGUUUUAUAUGAAACAAAAUCAAGACUGCCUUUCUCUUCAAUAUUUUUGAUGAUAAUAUCUUUAGAAGCAUCUCAUUGACGGGUAAUCGUGCUAUACCUUAAAGAGUCUAUAAACUCAAUGAUAUUAUCUUCUGCAAAUGGUUCAUUAAACUUCUUAGAUGUAGUUCAAUGUACAGUAAGGACAACAAGAAGCUAUGCCACUGUAGCAUGUAGUGAUGGCACUUAAUGAGUGAGUUGCUAGGAUGUGAACUAGAAAAAUUAAAUAUUGUCUCCCUCUCCCUGGGUAUGCUAGCUCAUAAGUCAGGGUUAAUAUUAGAGCUUGAGAUACUAUAACCAUGAGAAGCUAUUGACCACCAGUUAAAAUAUCCAUUAAAAUGUCUAGGGAGUUAUGAAGGUGGAGGUAUCUCCCAAUUUCUAAGGCCAUAUAAUAGACAUCAUCCAGGAUCCUAUAGAGUGCAGUUAGCCUCCUGCUUGAUGCUAAUGUCAAACAAUUAAUAAAUUUGGUCAAUGUAACUGAAACUUGCUAAUUGACGUCAGAUUGCGACUUGAGCACCUUAAAAUGGGAUAGACGAUUAGUGGCACUGAAUUCUUCUUGCCUAAGAUUGAGCAAUUGUUUUAACUACUAUCUCCUAUUGUAGGUUGAUUAUUAUGUUUUAAUUAUGUCCAUUUUGACCCAAAAAAUUACACAAUCUUGAUCUGCAUUUUGUCACUGAGCAGUGUCAAUAUCGUCUAACAACUAACUUGAUUUUGAUAUGACAAACACACGGUGUGUCUCUCAUGUCUCACCCAUGUCUCACCAUGAUGGAGAAUUUUUCUAAUGCAUGAAGUAAGCUUUGAUAUGUGGGUUAGCUUGGAGAACAUAUCUCAAAAUGAAGAAGAUGGGGAGUUAAUGGGAAGAAACAGUCCAGUAGUUUAUAAUUCUGUCGACGAGCUGUAUCUCUAACAUGGUCAAAAUUUAUGUGAAUAAGGACAGGGAAUCGUCAUUCCUCUUUUCCUUUUUAUACCGGGAUAUCUCUCAACCUUUAUAUGUUGCCCGCUGGAGAUCUCCUUCUAAUAACUAAAAUAAAAAUUUCAUCCACUCAAAUAAAUGUUGACCAAGCUUUCACAAGAAAAAGUAACGUCUUUAGUGAAGUAAUUUACAGUUCCUUAUCAUCUUCGUGUGAGUCUAUCAGUAUGAUCCAAAAACAUAAUAAAUCUUGUUAGAUCCUGUUUAUUGAUGUUUGAAUGUUGUUCAUUGUGCAAUGUAGAAAUGAUGACGUGAAGUUUCUUUGGUCAUCAAUUAGUGAGAUCUUGUUUGAAGUUGUUUUCUGAAAUGAACUGCAAAAUGGUAGUUUUUUUUUUUUUCUUGGGUGCAUUUGAUGGCUCUUUUCUCCUCAUUUUAAGCAUGUGUCUGCUUGAAAUGGGAAGGAAUAGGCUUCAGAGUUGUUAUAUAUGUUGAUAUGCUCUGGUCAUUACACAAUAUGUUCAAAUUGGAAAUUAGAAUGAGAUAUUUGUUGAUGCUUUUUGAGAGAUCUGCAUUCUAUGCACCAUAACAUGAUUAAUGAAAACGGGUUUAAGGACUGGAAAGAUCUGUGGCAGCCCAAGCUUGCAGGAAGGAUUUCAAUGGUUAAUUCUCCUAGAGAGGUUAUUGGUACAGUUUUGAAGUAUAUGGGAGUAUCAUACAAUUCAAACGACAUUGGGAGGAUUGCUGUUCAGCAGAAUCUGGCAUUACUGGGAAACCAGGUACUCUUAAAGAAACGAUAUCUGGUCAAUGCAUAUUAUUGGGUGACGGCUGAUUUUGUUUGUAAAGUGUGCCUUUUCAUACCUAUGAAUGCAUAUGUUAGUGUUGUGUUCUCCUUUCCAUAAAUAUGAAUGCAUAUGUUGGUGUUCUUUUCUGAGAUGGAUGCAAUAAAGGCUUUUUCUUCUAAAUUUAGUUGAAGAAAUGGCAAGGAAUGUGAGAUUCUAUCUCAUUAAAUUAACAAAAACCCAAAACAGUGAAAACCCAUAUUAUGUGGAUGAAUUGGCGACAUUUGGCUUGUUUCCUGAACGUGAAUUAGCAAGCAAUAGAGACUAAAAAAAUGGAGUGAUAAUAACAAGUCAUUGUCAUUUGAUGAAUGCAUUUUUAAGCAAAAAUAGGUUUGUAACUGAAUAAAUUUGUCUGGCAUGCCAAUAUCAAAAAAUUAAAUUAUGUGGUUAUGAGCUGUAAUGAAGGGGGAUUGUAGGUGCAAUCAGAUCGAUCCAAGAAAGUUCAACAAAGUUCUGGUUUGGUGUAGUGAAAUUGGUUUGUGCAACUUGAGUCUUUCAGAUGAACAAUGACGAGUUUUCAUUUAAAAAUGUUAUAAAUCUGCCAUGCAUAGUAUUCUAGUAGAAUCAUCUAUAAAUUCAAGUUAUUGAAAUUGUCUAUUUGUCCAGUUUGAGUUAAGGACGCAUGUAAUAUGAAAAAUUGUUGUCGAAUAUUGUAGGUUAGCUAAUAUUUGAUCAAUCCUAUAGGGAGGGCUUUAAGAUGUCUAACAACAUGUAGAAUGCCUCUGCUUCCCCCACAAUUUUUAUCUUAUACAAUUUUUAUCUAUAAACAGUAUUUGCCAGACCUUAACUGUUCAGAUUCCCCUUCUCGACUAUCAUACCCUACGCCCCGUCUCCGUGUCUCCGAUAAACAGUGCUCAAUUAAGGCCAUCAGAUUAUCCCGGUCCCACAUUGAUCAACGGCUCACAAUGACCGACAACCUCUGUCUCCAUUACAAGCUCCCUCUUCAACUCGCUUCUGCUUCCAUCCUACUCUUUCUCAGAUUCGGAGCCCGUAUAUGCUCGGCUGGUCCCACGAAGCUCCCUCUCACUCCAGCUGUCAACCGACAAGACCAAUUGCCUUAUCAAGACAGAGAACAAAAAGAGGAUGAGAAAUUGAAACAAGAAUUUGAGAAUUGGAAAUCGAAAACGUACUCAUUGACCGUGCCUUUGAGAGUUGUUUCUCUUCAGAAUUCAGUGCCUCAAUCUUGGGUUAAGGAUUUUAUGCGAAGUCAAGGAAAGUGAUUGAAGUUUCAGAUGAAUUUGUGUGCUAGCAUUGGUGGGAUCUUUAACAAUUUAUCUGUGCCCUUUAACAAAGUCAAGGCUAAUUCAGCUUCUUAUAUGGCUGCUGAUUUGGUUAGUGUUGGUGAUUCAUGGCUUAGUUUUGCCAUUAAAGAGAGAUUGAUUGAGCCAACGGCUGGAGCUGAAGACCAAGAUUGGUUCAAAUGCUUAAGUCACAAAUGGAAGGUAACAUCUUUAUCUUUGACCCGAUAAUUUUUAUUGUCUUACAUUGAAAUUUGGUAAUGUAAUUUGUUCUCUAUCUGUAUUACCCUUUUUAGUCGUUUUAUUUAUUUGUUUAUUUGCUUUUAUUUGCACUAACGAAGUCUCAGGUAUAUCUACGCAGGAAUGAUGCAGGAGAAAUUGAUCCUCGAUGUGAAAUAUGGGCGGCACCAUACAGGUGGGGCACAAUGGUGAUAGCCUACCAGAAAAGUAAAUUUCGAAAGCAUAAUUUGGCUCUGAUUGAGGUAAUAAUUGUCUUUAAAAUCAUUUAGUUUUAGAUCAAACAAAAUCAAGACUGCCUUUCUCUUCAAUAUUUUUAUGAUAAUAUCUUUAGAAGCAUCUUAUUGAUGGGUAAUAAUUGUAUCCCUGAGACAGUCUAUAAACUCAAUGAUAUUAUCUUCUACAAAUGGCUCAUUAAACUUUGUCGUUGUAGUCAAAUGUACACUCAGAGCAAUGACAAGCUAUGCCACUGUAGCAUGUAGUGAUGGCACUUAAUAAGUGAGUUGCUAGGAUGUGAACUAGAAAAAUUAAAUAUUGUCUCCCUGGGUAUGCUAGCUCAUAAGUCAGGGUUAAUAUUAGAACUCAAGAUACUAUAACCAUGAGAAGCUACUGACUGCCAAUUAAAAUAUCCUUUAAAAUGUCUAGGAAGUUAUGAAGGUGGAAGUAUCUUCCGAUUUCUGAGGCCACAUGGUAGAUAUCAUCCAGGAUCCUAGUACAGUGCAGUUAACCUCCUGCUUGAUGCAAUUAAUAAAUUUGGUCAAUGCCACUGAAACAUGCUAACUGACGUCGCAAUGCGACAUGAGCACUUCAAAAUGGGACAGACGGUCGGUAGCACUAAAUUUUUCUUGCCUAAGAUUGAGCAAUUGGUCUAACUACUAACCCCUUUUGUAGGUUGAUCAUUAUUUUUUCAUAUUUUCAGUUUGACGGAAAACGUUACAGAAUCUUGAUCUGAAUAUUGUCACUGAACAUUGUCAAUGUCGUUUAGCGUAGCCAAUUAACUUGAGUUUGGUAAAACAAAUACACAGUGUGUCUCAUGUCUCACAAUUCAAAUUAUCAUUUGUAAUGAUGGAGAAUUUUUCCAAUGUAUGAAGUAUGCUUUGAUACGUGGGUUACCUUGGAGAAGGUAUCUCAAAAUAAAGAAUAUGGGGAGAAAACAGUUCAGUAGUUUAUUAUUAUGUAGUCAAGUUUUGUCUCAAAAAUGGUCCAAAUUUAAAUGAAUAAGGACAGGGGAUCUUCAUUCUUUUUUCCCUUUUUUAUACCGAGAUAUCUCUCAACCUUUAUUUAAUCCCCACUGGAUAUCUGCUUCUAAUAAUUAAAAUAAAAAUUUCACCCACACAAAUAAAUACUGACCAAGCUCUAACAAUAAAAAGUAACAUCUUUAGUCAAGUGAUUUACAGUUCCUCAUCAUCUUAGUGAGACUAUCAGUAUGUUCCAAAAACAUAAUAAAACUGGUUUGUUCCUGUUUAUUGAUGUUUAAAUGUUGUUCAUUGUGACAUGUAGAAAUGAUGAGGCGAAGUUUAUUUGGUCAUCAAUUUGUAAGAUCUUGUUUGAAGUUGUUUUCUGAAAUGAACUGCCAAAUGGUGGUUUUUUUGGGGCAUUUGAUGGCUCUUUUUUCCUCAUUUUAAACAUGUGCCUGCUUGGAACAGGAAGGAUUAGGCUGCAGAGUUGUUAUAUAUUUUGACAUGCUCUAGUCAUUGCACAAUUUGUUCACACUGGAAACUAGAAUGAGAAAUUUGUUGCAUUCUAUGCACAAUAACAUGAUUAAUGAAAAUGGAUUGUAGGACUGGAAAGAUCUGUGGCAGCCUGAGCUCGCAGGACGAAUUUCAAUGGUUAAUUCUCCCUGAGAGGUUAUUGGUUUAGUUUUGAAGUAUAUGGGAGCAUCAUACAAUUCAAACGAUAUUGAUUCGCAAGUUGCUGGUGGGAAGAUUGCUGCUCAGCAGAAUCUGGCAUUACUGGCAAACCAGGUACUCUCAAAGAAAUGAUAUCUGGUCAUUGCAUGUUAUUACCUGACAACUGAUUUUGUUUGUAAAAGUCUGCUUCUUCAUACAUAUGAAUGCAUAUGUUAGUGUUUUCUUCUCCUUUUCAUACAUAUGAAUGCAUAUGUUGCUUCUUUUCCUUUCCAUACAUAUUAAUACAUAUGUUGGUGUUCUCUCCUGAGAUGGAUGCAAUAAAGGUUUUUCUGAAGAAAUGGCAAGGGAUGUGAGAUUCUGUCUCAUAAAAUUAACAAAAACCCAAAACAAUGAAAACCCAUAAUAAUGUGGUGUGGGUAAAUUGACGCCAUUUGGUUCGUUUCCUUGAUGUGAAUACGCGGGCAAUAGAGACUAACAAAAUGAAGUGACAACAAGAAGUCAGUGUCCUUUGAUGGAUGCAUUUUUAGGCAGAAAUAGGUUUGUAAUUGACCAAAUUUGUCUAGCAUGCCAAUUUCAAAAAAAUUAAAUUAUGUGGUUAUUAGCUGUAAUGAAGGGGGAUAGUAGGUCCAAUCAGGUGGAUCCAGGAAAGUUCAACAAAGUUCUGGUAUGGCGUAGAAAUUGGUUUGUGCAACUCAAGAGUCUUUCUGGUGAACGAUGAUGGGUUUUGAUUUAUAAAUGUUAUAAAUCUACUGUGCAUAGUAUUCUAGUAGAAUCAUCUAUAAGUUCUAGUUAUUGAAAUUGUCUACCUUGUUCAGUUUGAGUUAAGGGCACAUGUAAUAUGAAAAAUAGUUGUUGCAUCUUUUAGGUUACCUAACAUUUGAUCAAUCCUAUUAUGAGGGCUUCAAGAUGUCUAACAAUAUGUGGAAUGCCCAUGCUCCUCCCCAUUGUUUAUCUUUAUAUAAUAAUUUGUUUUAGAUGCUAAUAUCUUUGUCGAUACCGGUAACAAUAUUAGAAUAUCUGCGUUUAUUGGGUUUUACAUAGGUUCGACUGUUUGACAGUACACACUAUCUGAAGGCAUUUGGAAUUGGAGAUGUAUGGAUUGCUGUUGGGUGGAGUAGUGAUGUUCUUCCUGCUGUCAAACGUAUGUCUAAUGUUGCAGUUGUUGUUCCCAAGUCUGGUGCUAGCUUAUGGGCUGAUCUUUGGGUAUACCCAUGCCUGCCAUUCUACUUCAAUAUUCACAUUGUUAUCUCCUUCAUAUUAGUGAUCAGUAAACAUGAUAAUGUGACUAAUAAGUUCGUAUUCUCUUUAUAGGCAAUCCCUGCUGCCUCAAGACUUGAAACAAAACAAAUUGGACGGUGAGUCAGAGGUGCAUUUCCAUUAAUCCAUCAAUGGAUAGAAUUCUGCUUGCAAACAGCGAGAGCAUUGCCUUUCAAGCAAGAGGUUAUCCCGAGCGCAUCUCCCUCUGCCCUUGAGAGUACUCUGGUUAAGUUGCCUGAAGAACUUUUUAAGGGUAAACCAAGUCUGGAUACUAACUUAAUUGCUGGAGUACCCGACUGAAAUUAUGGCCAGAUGUGAGUUUUUGGAGCCAUUAUCUGAAGCUACAUUGUCGGAUUAUGAGUGCUGUGCUAAUCUGCAAAAAUCCACUCCUGUACUGAUCAACAAGAUGCAACAUUACAUGUCAUCAUUGAUCUUUAGCUAAAGGUACAUUGAAAAGUUAAUGGCACUGCAUACCAGUCAUUAUAAUUGGGUCAGGGCAAUUGGGUCAGGGCAAUUGGGUCAGGGCAAUUAGGUCAGAGCAUAACUUCAUUAGGAAAAGAGGCUUCAGCUACGUUAAAUAUUACAGGAUGUACUGAGAUGGCUGAAGUUGUUGACGUUGUACGAGAAACGAAAGAUGAGUGUUUGUUUGACAAAGUUGUUGCCAAUCUUGCAGAGUUCGAGAAGAAAGAUCACGAAGCAAAUGCCACCGAUUUCUUCAUCACUGUAGCCUCCAUAGUUGAAGUUUCCUCAUUUGAAGCUGUUUAUGCAUAUGCUUUUUCCCUUCUCAAGUACAGGAAAUUGAAGAAUUAACCAGAUGUGAUAUGCUGAAAGAGGGAAGUUUUCUCCCUUGAAUGUGGCCUUGUGAUUUGUCUUGAAGGAAUAGGAUGAUCACUGGCAAGAACCCUAUCAAGGUAGAUUUUAUGAUGUUAACAUAUUAUUAAGCAUUUUGUUACAUCAGCAAUGAUGCUUUCAUAGCAUGAAAGUGUUUAAAUUUAACUGAAUGAUCUUGAUUGAUCAAUUAUGAGUUUUAAUCGAGUAAAAACUAAAUACAAUAAUCGUUAACAAAUAUUGAAAUUGGGUAAAUAAGAUCUUGAUAGUGAAGAAUUUGAAAUCACACCCACACAGGAAAUCACCCUUCACGUGGGGAUGGAGAUGUUUACUGCAGCGAUAUUGAAUAUGUCCACUGCUGGACUAAUUCUGAUUACCUAAUUGACUCAGGAUCGGCUGGCAAUAAUAACAGUUUAUUAACAAUGCACAGUCCGAGUACUUUUCCAGGAUCAGAUACGACGUGGUCUAAUGUUGAUAAUAAUAGAUUAUCAAAUGACAAAUCGUUGUUCUACUAUUGCAAGCCCCCAGAUUUAAGAAUCUUUUUCAGAAAUUAAAUACAUUCUGAGAGAUGCUGGUCUACUAUUGCAAGCCCCCAGGUUUAAGAAUCUUUUGACGGUAAUUUAUCACCUGUAACUGUGCCGGAAGAUUCAACUAGCACUGAAAAAGAUGAUAAAUUAAUUGAUAUGGAGAGUUUUCAUAUCACUUUUAAAUCAUCUUAUGUAAUUGUGAUGUUAGGAAGCAUUAGUGAUCUAUAUGUGAAUUAUUAUUGGCGCCAUUGGUGGUUUUAUCUUGUUAAAAUAUGGAUGACUUCCAGUUACUAUUUUGUUGCAGACAAUCUUCUUCAAUUAACAUAUGGUUUAAAAUCAUUAUGUAAAUCAAUCUAUUAAUUUUCAAGAUAUUUAACUGAGUUAAAACUAAGUGCACUCAAUAAAUCUCUUUUCCUUUAAAAAACUGUUACGCUUUAAUUUUAGUGCUUAAUAUUUAUUGAACUCCGAUACAGGGAAUUUGAAAUCAAACUCGUAACUACAUAUUAUCUAAUUGCAAGUUUCUAUCCAUAGCUGCUGAUUUGUAGUGAUUAUCUAAUUGACUGAGGUGACGACAAUUUUUUUUUUUUAAAUUUUCAAUAGCACAAUGUGGAAUUCAAUAAUUAAAUUCUCCUUUUUAAUUUGUUUCCAGUUAAAUUAUUAAUUACUUAAACUCUGUUUUAAGUCUUUAAGUUUAUGUGUUUAUGCAGAAUUGGAUUCUUGAGCGUGUUGGACACGACCAACAAUGAAAUUGACAGUAAAAAAACAAUACAACGUGUGGACUCCGGUAGAUGCCAUACAAGUCUACAACUUUACAAAUAAUAAUUGAGUAAGCAACUUUGAUUCUCGGGGCCCUUCAAUGAAUUUCUAGCCCCGUUGACUCCGCCAACUAAAGUUUGUAAAAUAAAAAAAUACAUAGAAUUCCACUAAAUGCAAAACGCGUGGAAUUUAAUUUUCGGCCAUGUGGACCAAAACAUAAUUUAAUGAAAAAGGAAAAAAAUGAUAAGAUUUCUAAAAUAUGUGAAAGAUGAUCCAUAUGUUACUGAAACGACUUAUUAAAUUUUUCAAAAAUUUAGAAUAUUUAGUCAUAAAUUACGUGCAUGUUAAUUUUUCCGCCAUUGACUAUCAUAUUCUAAACUUAAUAGUACCUUUCUUGUUGAAGGGUACUUAGUCUCUCUUCUCCUCUUAUAAAAAUUAUAUUGAUGAAUUUCUUAUUAUAGUUAAUAGUCUUUAAGAACGGAUAACUUUAUUGUUUUCGUGACCAAAUUAUGUCUGCCUAAGGUUGUGACUAUUAAUAAAAUUAAUAUUUAAUGUUUAUGUUAAAAGAUAUAAGAUUUUAUGCGUUCAUUAAUUGUUAUUAGCUAAAGGAUGAAUUAUUUUUUCAACCCAAUCAGUUGAUGCAUCUGCAAGAGUUUUUUCUUUUAUUGACCAUAAUUAUGUUCCGGGUACAAUAAAUUGUCUUUGGUGCUUGGAAAAUAUGACUUCUUACUUCAAGUUUGAUAUGUCUCUCACCAUAAACUUACUGGAAAUAUAUCCUCAUCUACUGUCAUUUAUCUAAUAUCAAUUGAAGAUCUCACUUUUUCAAACUAUCACUUCCAAGUCUCAUUGUCACUUGGCCAUUCUUGGAUCAUUCAAAACCAAUCAAGUGUUGAAAUAAUCAAAUAUAUGCAAAAUUAGAGUCACGAUUUUUGGUCCCCCAAAUUCUAAUUAUAUAACUUCUAUAUAUUUCAUUGCCAGGUCACGAACUUGUUGGCACAUUUUCCAAAUUCCUCUUCCAUCAGCUCUCACACGUUAACUUAAGUGGAAAGUUUCCAAGUUGAUUGCUAGAAAGCAACGCAAAAUCAGACACACUUGAUCUGUCCCCUAAUUCUCUUUUCUACGUUGAAAAAGAAAAAAAAAAAAAAAAUAUAUAUAUAUAUAUAUAUAUGUAAAAAUAAAUAAUAAACUGAGUAAAAAUACAUUUAUUUAAUUAACAUCUGAUCGGGGCAUUUUUGGUGUAAGCCACAACUAAAAUCAAACAGCCCCUUAGCAUACUUCUUCCAUUUUAUCUGCUACUUUUGUGGAUCUUAUAGGGUGGGCAUGUGGACAGAAUUUAAAAGUUUUAAUAGUCUCAAAGAAUAAGAUGUGUUAAAUCUAAAGUUGUUGCACCUUCUGAUUACCUUCUGAUUAAAUAAAGUUGCACAAUUUUACCAACUUGAAAGAAUUGACAUUAAUGAACUGGUCGCCUCUCCAUAUAUGAAGCCUUCUUAAAAGUUCAUUUUUAUUUCAGAAAAAAAAAGUUUAAGUUACAUAUAUUAUAGUAAGAUUUUUUUUUCUUGAAAUAAUAAUGGAAAAGUAUUAAUUUAAAAAUAAAUUGAAUAUGUAUUGAUUAUAGCUUGAUUUUCAUCGAUUAUAGUGAGAGUUUCUCCAAAUCAAUUCCCUUAUUCAAAUAAUACCGAAAAAAUAGUAUUUUAAUAGUAAAAUAAACAGGUGUUGAUUAUAUAUUCUAAGGUUCAUCGAUUAUGUGAUCAAAGUGGCAUUGUUGAUUUAUUUCUUGUUCAAUGUUAAUUUUUAGGUUAUCUAAAUUUCAAGAAUUUAAAAUCUUUGAUCAUGGAUUACACGCUUAUUAAUUUUUCUGCCAUUGACUAUCAUAUUCUAGACUUAAUGAUACUUUUCUUGAUCAAGGGUAAUUACUCUCUCUUCUCCUCUUAUAAAUUCCUCUUCCAUUAACAUCACUAAGAGUAUGUUGAUCUCUCAUACGUUAACUUGAGUGGAGAGUUUCCAAAUUGAUUGUUACAAAACAACACAAAAAGUAGACACACUUGAUCUGUCUAAUAAUUCUCUUUCGGUAAAAUUAAAUAAUUUUAGGGGAAUAUUCGGCCAACCUCUGUAAAUUCAGAGUGAUCAUUAAUUAAUUAAACGAUACAAAUAUCUAAAGUGAUUAGAUGUUUGCCGACAAUACAACCUUUGUGGCGAUUUACAAAUGGACGUACUUGUGCCUUUGUGGCGAUAAUCGAACAAGUACCCAUGAUUAUUAUUUUUUCCAAAAACUUUUUUACAACAAAUUCAUCUCGCCAAAAAUUCUAUGUUGCUAACUAACAAUAAUUGAGCACUUGGCCGCAUUGACUCCACGUCUCCACCUCUUUCUAAAAACAUGGAAAUGUAAUUUCCACAAAAUGUCAAACGUGUGGAAUUUAAUUUUUUGCCUUGUGGAUCAAAAUACAAAUGAAAGAAACAGGAGAAAAAAAAGGCCCAAAGACUUCUAAAAGAUGAAGAAGUCUUUGGGCCUUCUUAUAAUGGUGAAUUUUUUAAAAGAAAAAAAUAACAACAUUUUUAUGGUUUGUUUUGAUAAUCAUAUUUACAAAUACUCUAAUUCUCAAAAUGGACACAUAAAUCUUUUUUUUUUUACAAAUAUAGAUUAUUCAUAUUUUUAUUUUUUAUUAUCAUAUUUUUAUUUAUUAUAAAUGUUUAGAGCAAAUUUUUAGGUUGAAAUAUAAUAAAAAGGUAUAAUUGUUCUCUUAUUAAACACACAUACUUUUAUUAGUUUCUAUCCAUUUGUCAUCUCAAUCUCUCUCAAUUAUUCUUUAUUGCUAGCUCAAAACGCGUUGCUGUUGCAAAUUAUAGCAAAAUGACAAAUAUGGAAAAAAAGGGAAGAAAAUUAAUGCAUGAAAGACUUGGAGAAAACAACAAAAUAAGCCAACUAUGAGCUAGUUGGGUGUAUAAAUUGUUAGAUGUGUUAUAUACAAAUAGCGUAGAGCCCUCUAGUUGGUUCCAGAGACAGAAAGAGCGUGUGUGUUUUUUCACAGUUAGAGAUAUAGUUAGAAUGGGUGGUUCAAAAUCAAAAAUGAUGAUAAUGUUUAUUAUGUUAUUAAUAAUAUUUAAAAGUAGGUGGAGUGAGGGAUGUUUGGAUCACGAGAGAUUUGCUCUUUUGCGAUUCAAACAUUUCUUCAAUGAUCGUCUUAAUUAUCUUUACGACUGGGUAGAUGGUGAGGGAGCUACUGAUUGUUGUCAGUGGGAAAGGGUUGAGUGCAGCAACACCACAGGCCGAGUGAUAGCGCUAGACCUUAUUGAUACGUAUGGGGGAGAGCACAGCUGGUAUCUGAAUGCUUCUUUGUUUACUCCUUUCCAACAACUUGAGUCACUUGAUUUACAUGGCAACAACAUAGCCGGUUUUGUUGAGAAUGAAGGUGCUUCGUUUAAUUUAAUUAAUUUACUUUCUCCCCCCUAAUUUAAGUUGAAUAUCAAGACCGAGCAAUGAUACGCAUAUUCAUUUAGUCGACAAUUUUGACUUUUUUUAAAUGAUUAAUUUUGAAAUUACACCAGUAUCUAUGAUUAUUUUUUUUAUUUUAUUUGCAGGCAUAGAGAGGCUAUCAAGAUUAAACAACUUGAAGGUGCUUGAUUUAAGUGAAAACUCGUUCAACAAUAGCAUCUUAUCAUCUCUAACUCGUCUUUCAUCAUUAAGAUCAUUAAAUUUAUAUGGGAAUAGAUUGGAAGGAAGUAUUGACGUUAAAGGUACAUAAUUAAAACUUCAUCCCUUCUCCAAGCUCUUUCAUUAACUUGCUAAAAUAAGAUUCAAGGCUUUGAAUUCAAUUUUUUUUAUGAUUAGUAUUAAAAAAAAAACAGUUUUAAGCAAUUUAUAAAUACAAGUUUUAAUGUUUCUCAUAAUUUCAUCUUGUACUUUCAUGUGUCUUGAAUUUAAGAUUAAAAAAAAAUCUAAUAGCAAACCAAACACCUCCACAACUUAUUGUUAUUAUUAUUAUUAUUUGUGGUGAGGUUUGAAACAUUCAACUCAAUUUGUACUUAUUACAGAAUUUGAUUCUUUGAGAGAUUUAGAGGAGCUAGACAUUGGCAGGAACAAGAUUGACAAAUUUGUGGUCUCAAAAGGUACUACAAAUACCAUAAAAAAAAUGCUAACUUUUACAAAUUAGCUGGAUUCUUUGCCAUUUGGUUUAUUAUUUUACAGAUUUGAGUAAGUUGAAGUCUCUUGGUUUAAGUGGUGUCAAACUCAACCGUAGCAUCUUAUCUUCUCUGACUGUCUUUUAUUCGUUAAGAGAAUUAGAUAUAAGUGAAACCGGAUUCAAAGGAACAUUCGAUGUUCGAGGUAAGCCUAAACCCUGCUUUCUCAUUUUAUAUAUGCCAACUAGAUUUGUGUAUCAUCGACAUAAUUUAAUAUUUAAUUUGAUUAGUCUGAAGGAAUUACAUGCUAAUUUAAACAUACUUUUAUUUACUCUGUCAAUCAAUUAAUUAAUUAAUUACUAUUUGGCUUGGUUUGGACGAAAUUCUCAUGAUGUUUUAAUUUCUUUAAAUUGAUUAAUUAAUUAACUCUGUUUUUAAGUCUUAAGUCUGGGCAUGUUUACAGAUUUUGAUUCCUUCAAUAACUUAGAAGUGUUGGACAUGAGUGGCAAUGAAAUCGACAAUCUUGUGGUUCCUCAAGGUAAACAAUUAAAAUAUUAUUCAAUUACAUUAUUUUAAUUCAUUUGAUUAGGGAAGGCCAAACAGGUCCCAAAAGAUAAUAAUAAUAAAGAAACAGAUAAUUUGUAUUAAUUAAAAAACAAAAUGUAAUAAAGAUUUGAUUCCAGUUCUUUAAUCUUUAAAGCGAUUGAAAAACAAUGUUGCUCUUUUCCCAAAGCAUAAAAUACAAAUUGAAUGGCAAUUAACUUAAUCAUUCAUUUCGUUUAGCUCUAAAUUUAGACAAUGAAUUUUUAUAUUAUUUCAAAAACAGGACGUAAUAGAAUUUUUUAAAAAACAGAAUGUAAUAAAGAUUUGAUUCCAAUUCUUUAAUCUUUACAGUGAUUGAAAAACGAUACCAAUUAAAUUAAUCAUUUAUUUCGUUUAGGUCUAAAUUUAGAAAAAUGAAUUUUGAUUAUCUUCAAUCUUUUCUUAAUUAUUAUUAAUAAACAGGUUACAGAGGUUUGAGGAAGCUGAAAAGCCUUGAUCAUUCCCAUCCCUCAACACUCUUUACCUUUGGGAUAAUAAUUUUACAGAAACAGUGACAACCACUACUCAAGGUAAGUGAAAAGGUACAGAUGUGGCCAAAUUUAUAAAUAAAUUGUUAAUUAAUUAAUUUUUCCGUAUUAUUAAUAAAGCGAAAUUCGUUGCUCCUUCCUUCUAAAUCUAAACAGAGUUGCACAAUUUCACCAACUUGGAAUAUUUGUCAUUGGACGAUUCCUCUCUCAAUUUAAGCCUUCUGCGAAGCAUUGCAUCAUUAUUCCCUUCAUCAUUAUUCCCUUCAUUAAAAAAUCUUUUUCUUCAUUAAAAAGAAAAGCGUUGAUUGUGAACUCACUCAAUGGUUUCCUACGUGUUCAACAUGUUUGUUUAUUUAUUUUAUUGUUUAAUGUUUCUGCUAGGUUUUCCUCAUUUCAAGAGUUUGGAACAUUUGGACAUGAUGUCCACGCGCAUUGCACUCAACACCAGCUUUCUUCAAAUCAUCGGUGAAUCGAUGCCUUCUCUUAAGUACUUAUCGCUGUCAGAUUCUAACAGCAGCAGGAUUCUUGAUCGAGGUUAAUCAGAUGCUCCCACCCUCCCUUCUUAAUCUAUAAUAUUAAUUUUCAAUUCAAUAUUCAAUUACACAAACCAAUCACUUAUUAUAAAUGAAUAAUACGCAUUCAUUAAUUUUUAUAUUGUAUUAAUAAUUGAUGAAUUUAAUAAAUUUUCAGGCCUCUGUUCGUUGGUGCAUCUACAAGAGUUGUACAUUGAUAAUAAUGAUUUAAGAGGUAGCUUGCCUUGGUGCUUGGCAAAUAUGACAUCCCUCCGAAUAUUAGAUGUUUCUUCCAAUCAACUUACGGGAAGCAUCUCCUCAUCUCCCCUCGUUCAUUUGACAUCCAUUGAAGAGUUGAUGCUUUCAAACAAUCACUUCCAGAUCCCAAUUUCACUUGAACCAUUUUUCAAUCACUCAAGACUUAAGUUUUUCUAUGCUGAAAAUAACCAAAUAAAUGCAGAAAUAACUCAGUCACAUUCUUUGAUCCCCCCAAAAUUCCAAUUAUCACGUCUCUCAUUGUCUUCCGGUUAUGAAGAUGGCGUCACAUUCCCCAAAUUCCUUUACCAUCAACAUGACCUGGAGUAUGUUGAUCUCUCACACAUAAAGAUGAAUGGAGAAUUUCCAACUUGGUUGUUGGAAAACAACACAAAGUUGAUACAACUUUCUGUCGUCAAUGAUUCUCUUGCAGGACCUUUUCGGUUGCCAAUUCAUUCACACAAGCAGUUAAGACUGUUGGAUAUAUCCACCAACAACUUCCGAGGCCACAUUCCAGUAGAAAUUGGAGAUGUUUUACCAAGUUUAUACGUUUUCAACAAUUCCAUGAAUGCUUUAGAUGGUAGCAUUCCCUCUUCAUUUGGUAAUAUGAAAUUCCUCCAAAUUCUAGACUUAUCCAACAAUCACUUGACUGGUGAAAUCCCCGAGCACUUGGCCGUCGGUUGCGUCAACUUGGAGUCUCUUGCAUUAUCAAACAACAACUUAGAAGGUCAUAUGUUCUCCAGAAACUUCAACCUGGCAAACUUGAAAUUGUUACAAUUGGAAGGCAAUCGCUUCGUAGGAGAGAUCCCACAAAGUUUGUCUAAAUGCUCUUCACUAGAAGGAUUGCAUCUUAAUAAUAAUAGUCUCUCGGGUAGGAUUCCACGAUGGUUGGGUAAUCUCACAUGGUUACAAUAUAUUAUAAUGCCCAAUAAUCAUCUUGAAGGCCUUAUUCCAGUGGAGUUUUGUCAGCUUGAUUCGCUUCAGAUUUUGGACAUUUCAGACAACAACAUAUCUGGAAGUUUACCAGCUUGUUUCCAUCCUCUCUCUAUCAAACAAGUUCAUCUUUCAAAAAAUAUGUUACAUGGACAGCUAAAAAGAGGUACAUUCUUUAAUUGCUCUUCCCUUGUGACAUUAGAUCUUAGCUAUAACCGCUUGAAUGGCAGCAUUCCGGAUUGGGUUGAUGGACUUUCUCAGUUAAGCCACCUUAUCUUAGGUCACAAUAAUCUUGAAGGUGAAGUGCCAGUUCAAUUGUGCGAAUUGAACCAACUACAAUUGUUAGAUCUUUCUAAUAAUAAUCUUCACGGUCCUAUUCCUCCUUGCUUUGAUAACACCACACUUCAUGAAAGUUACAACAAUAGUUCUAGUCCUGAUGAGCAAUUUGAAAUAUUUUUUUUCAUCGAAGGCCCUCUGGGAGAUUUAAAAGAGCAAAUCCAUGAAAUUUUUGAGUUCACAACAAAGAACAUUGCGUACAUUUACCAAGGAAAAGUGCUUAGCCUCCUAUCAGGACUUGAUCUUUCUUGCAACAAGUUAAUCGGUGAUAUUCCUCCUCAAAUUGGAAAUUUGACAAGGAUUCAAACAUUGAAUCUAUCACACAACAACUUGACAGGAUUGAUCCCAUCAACAUUUUCAAACUUGAAGCAUAUCGAAAGUUUGGAUCUUUCCUACAAUAAAUUGAAUGGGAAAAUCCCUCAUCAACUUGUGGAGUUAAAGGCAUUGGAGGUUUUCAGUGUGGCAUACAAUAACUUAUCAUGCGAAAUUCCAGAAUGGGAAGCACAAUUUGCAACCUUCAACGAGAAUAGCUAUGAGGGAAAUACUUUUCUUUGUGGACUGCCAUUGCCCAUUUGCAGAUCACCAGCAACUACGCCGGAGGGUUCAAUCGGCAAUGAACGAGAUGAUAAUUUAAUUGACAUGGACAGUUUCUUUAUCACAUUUACAACAUCGUACGUAAUUGUGAUAUUCGGAAUUGUUAUUGUUUUAUAUGUAAAUUCUUAUUGGCGACGUAAAUGGUUUUACUUUGUUGAAAUGUGGAUAACUUCAUGUUAUUAUUUUAUUGUAGACAAUCUUAUUACAACAAGAUAUUGUCAUUGAAAUUAAUUAGCAGUUUAAUUACGAUUCUUUAAGUUCUAAUCAAGUUUGCACUUGAUCGCCUAUUUUACUUUAAAAAAUAAUGAUUAUGGUGCUAUCAUCAUCUUCUUCACUAGCAACAUUAACACCAAAUCCAGCGAUGGACCCAGACAUUUUAUCAAGAUAUAUAUAAUAAAGUUGAAGCUUGACAAAAAAUUUAGGAAGAUUAAUGCCUCGCCACAACAAGGGGCACAACAACAUCAAAGCAGAGAUGAAGCAAUAUUCUCAAAGCUAAAACUCUCCAAUCCACCCACCAGAAUUUCAUAUCUCCUCAACAAUUUUAAGAACUAAAGAUAAUUAGGAUAUAACAUUAGUUUUUUAUAUAUUAGUUUCAUAAUUUACAAAUCAAUGAAGAUGAAGAUUAUGUUAAUGAAUUCAAAUUAUACCAUACAUUCUCGAGAUGCUACCAAAAAUUUCUAAGUCAAUCCCACAUAUUUCAUAAUUUUAAGACUAGAAAAUUUCAUUAGGUAGAAGUUUCAUUACCUUCAAGUGGAAGAUGAAGAACAUUAUACAAUUGAUUCAGAUUAUAUCAUACAUACUCCAAAUGCAACUAGAAAUUAACAAGUUCAUGCGCACAGAUUUCAUAACAUUAUGAAUGGAAAGUUUCACAAAGAGAAAUUAUAAAUUCAAUCUCUUGCAUCAAGGUAGUUUGAUUGAUUUGAGUUACUUUCUGAUCAAGCUAUUAAUAUAACAUUCAAGUCAGGGAGAAAGUAAAUUAAAACUGGGAAGAAAUAACAGUAAAAAUUUGUUGCUAAACAUGAUGUGUAUUUUUUUUUUAAGGCAAUUUGGAAACACAGUUGUUACUACAGAUAUUCUCCUCAACUUAGAGAUAAUACAAAUAUUAAAAUGC